rnacentral:lncRNA from 1 species
GGGCCACCUGGCCCGCGGGCGUGGGCCAGCCUGACGCACAUCUUCCUGGAGUGUCCAGCUUAUGCGCAGGCGAGGACAUGGCUGCAGCAGCUGUGGGCCUGCGUUGCGCCCCAGGCAGCGGCGCCGCCAGUGACGGACGCAAGCUUCAUGCUGGGGGACCGCAUGGGUAUGUGGGCCUCAGGCCCGCGGGGGGCGGGCGCGCUGCUGUGGAGCACUUUGCGGGCCACCUUCUUGUACGCCGUCUGGUGUGCGUACUGGUCCCGCGAGCCUGCUAAGCAGACGUCGGAGCAUGUGGUUCGGGAGGUUGUCAGCGAGCUGCGCAGGGUGAUGCAGCUGCGUUUCACUGCCGCCACGCUAACCCCUGAAACCCUGUCGGCUCUGCCCACUCAGCUUCUCACCGCUCAGCUCAAGGCGGCUAAGCUGGAGCAUUUUGUUGCCAUCUGGUCGGCGGGUGGCGCGCUUUGUGAAGUGGAGGAGGUUCAGGGUGGGUCACCGAAGUUGAACUUGCGGCUGACGCUUGCAUCACCUGUGCAGGCCCCCUAGGUUUCCUUUUGGGCGGCGGUUCUUUCCAGGCGCUGGCGUGGUGUUUAUCGACAUCAGCUUAUCUGGCGCCCAUGUGUUUUAGCUCUGGCUGGCAUCGCAGCGCCUGGGCGGCUGUGGGACUUCCUGCACAGCGCGUCUUGCAGCGGGCUGGAGCCCGCUUAUAUUAGUCAGCGCCACAUCUGGCCCGUUUAGUUUUCUGCUUGUGUCUCCUCUGCCGGUUCUCCUGGGGUGUUGCUUAAGCAACCGACUUGUGGGGGUGGGGUGGGUUUGGGCGGGGCGAGUGCGUAGCGCUGGUGUUUCGUUUUCUGGCGCGCGGUGGUGGUGGUUCUUGCGGUUAGGCUGUGGUGUAGGUUGGUGCUUGGGUUAGGUCUGGCGGUGUUUUUUUUGCUACCCCUCCCGGGGGGCGGGGGGGCCAGCCUCCUGCUCUGUCUGCCGGGUCGGGGUGGGGUGGGGUGGGAUGGAUGGGGGUGGUUGGUGGCGGUUUUCGAGGUGUUUGUUUUCUGUUUUUCUUCUCUUUUCUUCUCUUCUUGCCCUGUCAGGGUUCUGGUCUCGGGGACCAGGCUGCUUUCAGGCAGCAGGGGGGCAGCGCGUCUGCCCCUGUUCAACCUUGUAAGGAUGAUUCCUCAAAAAAAAAAGGAAGAUGUGCGUUAGGCUGGCCCACGCCCGCGGGCCAGGUGGCCCGCAGGCGGGGUGAGGACAGUGCGCCCCCAACCCCCCGCACCCCGUGGUCACCCGUGGACGAAUUCCCUUGCCCGCCCUGUACAGCCCGCAAGGCAGGUAAGCAUGUUGCAGCCGGCACACCAGCACCUUAGCCCCCCGACUGGCGUGGCUGUCCCACAGCCUCCGCCACGUACCCCGCAGAAGGGACGCAUCCGGGGGCGGCAUGCGAGGGUCGCCCUCCACCGCCGCCGCUGCUGCCGCCGCCGCCGUGGCAGGCCCAGUGCUAGGCCCCGCCCCGCCCGCCGCCUGCUCCUGCAGCCGUGCGGACCGCCGCGGCCCCUCACCCGACUGCUGGGACGGGGACGCAUACGACUGCAGUUCUCUCGCCGGCGUGUUCUGCUGCCCGGCAGCCGCAGAGGUGCGGUGGAGCCAGGGGUCCAGAGCCACCGGGUUAUUGUGGAAAUGCUGCGCCGCCGUGGUGGUCAGCUGCGCCGCUGCACGCUGCCACUCCGCCUCCCGCUCCGCCAGCCGCGACUGUGCCGCCGGCUGGGUCCCCGACCCCCCCGCCUGCUGAGCUGGCGCCGGGCACGGCAUGGCUGCGGGGCGGGCCGGAGCCGGAGGUGCGGCCGGGUUAGCCGCGGUGAUGGCCCGCCGCACGUCCCGCACCGUGUAGUCCGCCAAGCUGACACCCGCAAUCCGGCAGUGCUCCGGGUGCACCACCACCCCAGCCUCCGGCGCCAGGAAGUACGGCGCCCGAGGCCACGCCCCCGCCCGUUCCCCUGGUGAUGCUGCAUCGUACGCCGCCCGCUCUUCAAAGGUCCACAGGUGCCGCGGCUUGCGAUGCUGCAGCACACAGGCAGGCUGCCACGCCCCAUCCACCGCCGGGGGCAGCACGCCAGGCCCAGGCUCCAAGAGCCGCCCCGUUUUUUUUUUUUUUUUUUGUAGUGGACGUAGGACACAGCCCCCGCAGCGUUAGCCACCCACAGCUGGUCCAGGCUAACCCGCCACUGUGGCGGCGCCGCUGGCGGCUGAGUGGCUGGCUGCGGCGGAUGCUGCUCCACGCCCGCGCUCCGCACGUGGCCGACCGCGGCCGCCAGCCGGGCAGGCAGCCCCGCUGGCGCCGGCGCGUCGCUGUACACCCACGCCCACGUGGUGGCGGAGUCCGGGCGCACAUGGGUAAGCAGCGCCCGGGUGAGCGUCUUCCAGGGUUGCCGGCCUGGCUGGGCAAGGAGGGCGAAAGUCUUAGCUUGCAGGGCAGACAGGAACGCAGGCAGGUUGACGUGGUUGACACCCCCAUCCUUGUACGGCAGACAGGCCGUUUCCCGCUUUGGCAGCAGGAGCGGGUUCCCGUGCGACACCAGGCUGGCGUCCUCAGCGUGCAUGGAGCGCGCAGCAAAGUGGUCCACCAGGUCGGUGAGUUCCUUCAGCUGCGCAGGCGACGGGUUGAGGAAGCUGAAGUGGUAGGCCAGCUUCGCCGCCAGCACCUGCUUCGCAAUGUGCACACGGCCAACGAGGGUCAGAGACAGGGCAGCCCACAGACGCGCCACAAACGCCAUGCCGCGAGCCCGCCGGGUGUACAAGUCAGCUGCAGCCGCAUCCGAGUCCCACGACAGGGGCACACCCAGGUGCGUCACGGCGCCAGUGGUAAACGGCACCCCCGUGUGUGGGCAAGGGCCCGUCAGGUGCGCAAACCUGCCAAGGCCCAUGGCCUUGCUCUUGUCCGGAUGGACACGGGCGUUGGACGCGCGGCAGAACAGCUGUACUGCCGCCAUCAGGACCGGCCCGUCCACCGCCGGGUCGCGCGCCGUGAGGGUCGUGUCGUCAGCGUGGUGGGCAGCAGGUGGCGCCUGCUCGCCGCUGGGUAACAGGGGCGUGCGCAGUGCCCCUUGCUCCACCUGCCGCCGCAGAAAGGACGUCAGUGGCUGCAUCUGGAUGACCCACAGGGGUGGUGAGGCGGUGCUGCCCUGCGGCAAGCCGUUCAGCACUGGGAAGGCGUCAGAGAGCAUCCCGUUCACACACACGCGGGCAGAGCCGUUGGCAGUGAGCAGGCGGAUCCAGCGCAGCAUGCGCGGCCCAAACCCAAGUCCCUCCGCGGACGCAUACAGCCACUGCCGGUGCACCCGGUCAUACGCCUUUUCAAUGUCCAAGAAGUACAGCGCACCACCCUGCCGUGGCGCGCCGUCCGCGCCCACGUCCAGGCGCAUCCAUUCGAUCAGGCCUUGGAGGUACAGCGCGUUGUCUCCAAUCCAGCGGCCGGUGAUGAACGCGGUCUGCAGCUCAUCCACAACUGCAUCCAGGGCGGGCUGCAGGCGGGCGCUGACGGCCUUGGACACCAUCUUGAAGUCGCAGUUGAGCAGCGUGAUGGGCCGGUAGGACGCCAGCUCGGCGCGGUCCAGGCUUUUGCCCUUGUAGAUGAGCGUAAUGAUGCCCUCCCGCCAGGAGGCAGGCAGCGCCGCCGCCAUUUCGCCGCCAUCGUGGGCGUCUGCAGCGGCAGCAAAGGCAGCGGCAGCAGCAGCACACAAGCGCGGGCCCAGCAGCGCCCAGAAGACCUUGUACACCUCGUACGGAACCCCGUCCGACCCAGGUGCUUUACCAUUGGCGGAGCCAGCCAGCGCUGCCAUCAGCUCGGCAUCACUGAGGGCGCCGUCCCCGGACCCCUCUGCGGCGGUGUGCAGAUCCGCCGGAACCUUGCGGUCAAUGGCCGCCAGAAGCUGUUGCUGCGACGCCGUACAGACCGGCUGCACACGGAACAGGCCGGUGGGGCUGGUGCUGCUGUACAUGGCUGCGGCGGCUGCGGAGACAGUGUUGCGCGUGCCCGGCCCCGUGAGCGCCACAGGCGCCGGUUGCCCCGGCACCUUCAAGUGCGUGAUGGGCUCCUGCGCGCCGGCUGCUGGCUCGUCCGCCUGCCGAUGGAACCAGCGAGUUCCCCGCUCCCCAUGCUCCUCCAUCAGUGCAGCGCGGGCAUUGUGGCUGGCCGCUGCGGCAGCUGCCCGCUCCUCCCGCACCGCCAAGUUGGCCAUGGCCGCAGCCUGACGCUGCGCGGCGCUGGCACCCGGACGGUCGGCCAGGGCAGCGGCCGCGUCUGCGGCCAGCACCACGCCAUGCAGCCCAUCCCGGGUCUGGCGUGCAUGCCGACGGUGGAUGCUGGUGGCGGCCUCCCGCAAGAAGAACUUGUCCGCCUCCCAUUGCGUGCAAGCGCCGUCACCUGUACUGGCCACGGGAUUUGCGGCAACGUGCGCCACCAAGCGCUGCUCGAGCUCCAAACGCAGCGAGGGGUGAAACAGCAGGUACGUGGGGAAGCGCCACUGCUCCCGGUGCGCAUGUGGCAGGUCGGGCAAGGACAGGGUGAGCAGCACACCGUUGUGGUCCCCAGGCGCCCCAUACGUGCGAGCGACAUCCACCACCCACGGCGCCGCGGUGGCACUGACAUACCACCGAUCCAGGCGUGCGGGAGUGGCCGGCUUGGGCGUGGCCGGAUGCGUGUAGCCCUUGGCGCCGCCACGCUUGCUCGCCCAAGGGUCCACCAGACUGAACUGGGCGAGGAGGCUGGCAAGUUGCGGGGCACCUGCAGCACGUGACGGGCUAGGGGCCGCCUCCUGACUGGCAUCGGUGACACAGUUCCAGUCCCCACCGACAACAAGCACCCUGUCCGUGGCCAGGUGGGGAUGCAGCCCGGCAAAGAAAGCAGGCUUGUCCGCCACGGCCGUGGGCGCAUACACACACAUGAAGCGCAGGCGCAAGUGACCCAUGUCCCAAUCCCAACAUACCACACGGCCCGCCGCAUCCGUUGACGGCGGCUGCAGUACGCAGCCGGGAAGGGACAGCCGACUCCGCGCCAGGAUAGCCGCCCCACAGGAGUGGGGCGACGCUGCCGGGCUGGCAGCGAGGCAGUGGCGCCACGGAAGGCACGCCCCCUGCGCGGCACGAAGGCAAGACUCCAGCGCCGUCGUGUCAGUAGCGUGGGUCUCCUGCACCAUCGCCACAUCCGCCCCAACUUGCUGCAGGUGCGAGACCAGCGCCCGCGCCUUGAGCGGCGAGCCCAGGCCGUUGACAUUCACUGUCAGCAGCCGAAGGUUCGCCGCUCCCACUGAUGGCCGCAUUACGAGCCCCCGCCGGCCACGGCAGCGCUGUGGCGGUUGCGGUUGGUGUUGCUGCUGUGGCGUUUGUGGCGGCGGCCGCCACCCUGGCUGGGGGGCGCGCCGCCGCUGCUGGUGCUCAUGCUAGCGGCGCCUGAGCUGGCGCCGCCGGGGCGCAAUGGAGCGCUGCCCAGGCUCAUGAGGCUGGAGGUACUGCGGCUGCGGUGCUGGCGUUGCCGGCGGCUGGGCCCGAUGGCCCCGCCGGGGUCCGCCGGCGGCCCACGCUUAGCGGACCGCAGGAUGCGGGCGUCUAGGAGCACGUAGUCCAUGUAGGCCGUCUGCACCUGCUGCGCGGCGUCAUCCAGCUGCUCCGUCACGUCGGAAGGCAGGGGCGUGUCUGCAGGCUGGGCUGAGUAUAGGCGCCACCAGCCAGUGAACUCGUCGUGCAGCUGUGCCAGGACGGCGGUACGGCCGGCCGGCACGCGGCAGACGGCCCAGUCCGGUACGGUGGCGCCCUGGUCACGGAGGUAGGCGAGGAGGCGGCCACCAAGCGCAUCGCGGCCAAGCUGCGUCCACUCAUACCCCUGCACAUCUGCGCAGCGGUUCUGGUGCGUCACGAGGUCAGAGCCGAUGGCAACACACGUGUCACGAUUCAGGCAAACGGCCCCGUACUCCGCCUCACUGCCCGCACCCCCACCAGCGCGCCCAGCCGUGUCGGCCGAAACCCCAGCCGGCGCGCCCAGGCCCCUUCCCCUGUCCUUACCACCACCCGCCGGUUGUGACGUCUGCAGUGGCGGCCCCGCCUGGGGCGGCGCCUGGGGCACUGCCCGCCCCGCUCCUCCACCCUGGCGCCCCGACCCGCUGCCCCCACCAGCCUGCUGUCCCCCGGCCGGCCGCCCAGUGGGCACGUGCGGCGGCGAGCUUUUUUUUUUUGAGGAAUCAUCCUUACAAGGUUGAACAGGGGCAGACGCGCUGCCCCCCUGCUGCCCAAGCGUGAUCGCUCGAAGGGUCAAAGCCCGUGUGGCUUUUUGGGCAUAUAAGGGCAGGAGGGAGCCAACCCCAAGGCCUGACAUGUCCGCAGGGGCAAGUGUGGCACGUGUCGGGAACCCAGGGGUGAGGCGGUAACACUUCUUUGCCAGCCGCGCAAUCAUGGCGUCAAGGGUGCGGAUGUCAUUCUCCGUGUACGGCAUAACCGCAAAGCUGUAUGCUGCCAUAGACUGUAUGUAGGAUUUUAUAAUUCGCAGGCAUUGUUCUGGUGACGCGAGAGACGUUUGCAGGUUGGCACUUUUUUCUUUGAUGGCAUCACAUAGGUAAGCAAACUGGGGUCCCCAGUGCAAGUUCAUGGUUAUCUGUACUCCCAGGUAUUUGAAGGGUUCGGUUGCGGGGAGGUAAGGCACAGGUUUGUCGCCAAUGUGGAUUUUGUUCUCGAGCAUUGAUUUGAGGGUACGGUUGCAGGUGGGACCGUUCAGGCCUUUGUCCUGCUGGGCUCUUCGGUGCAGGAUUCCCGUGACUCGGCAUUUGGCGUGGUUCACCUGGAGGCCCGCCCAUGCCGAGUAGCGGUGAAUUUUGAGAUACGGGGCGUGUUUUGCGCGGGGAGGCGAACCAACCGAGCUGCACAAGCGGUGUUGAGCAACACCGGUUAUAAAUUUGCAACCACACAUAGAACACGCACUCACACAGACGCACACACGGCACGCACGCACACGCUCACUGUCCGGGGGAGGGCAAUAUCAAAAAGGGGGGAUUGCCAGAUGGCCGGAAACUUGGCAUCUCUGCACCCAAGCUUACCGACCACCAGCCAGCAGCAACCGGGAUGCUGCUUCACUUGGUCUGCCCGGUUUGGCUUCUCGCCACCACACACCGGGCAGAAACCACCCCCCGGACCAGCAACCAACCUGAAUCAACACAGCACUUGCACCCCAACAAAGAGGAAAGGCCCCCAUGUCGUCAGCCAAAGCAACAAACGCUGAAAGAAAGGAGAGGGGGUGGGCGGGCGGGCAACAAAAGAGAGCACCAGCAAGCGCACGCGGCCUCCUAACCAGGAACUCGAUAGCUUUCCGAAGCACGGCGGCAUAAGUUGCUCGCUCAUCAGCUACCGUACGCAAACGCAACUUAAUAAAACAAACCCCACAGAAAGACAGCAUUUGAGACCUCGAUGUGAUGGUGAAUGCGGCCUUCAGAGCGACACACGAAACCCCGGGCCCUGCACUUCUUACCCCCCUGCAACUGAACCACCUCCCGCUCAAACACUGCUCCCUACUUCAAAACUUGUUUUAAGCUCCGGUCAGUCGGCAAGCUCCUGGAGCCUUCGCUUAAAACAGCCCUUUGAGAUACGGGGCGUGUUUUGCGCGGGGAGGCGAACCAACCGAGCUGCACAAGCGGUGUUGAGCAACACCGGUUAUAAAUUUGCAACCACACAUAGAACACGCACUCACACAGACGCACACACGGCACGCACGCACACGCUCACUGUCCGGGGGAGGGCAAUAUCAAAAAGGGGGGAUUGCCAGAUGGCCGGAAACUUGGCAUCUCUGCACCCAAGCUUACCGACCACCAGCCAGCAGCAACCGGGAUGCUGCUUCACUUGGUCUGCCCGGUUUGGCUUCUCGCCACCACACACCGGGCAGAAACCACCCCCCUCACCAGUUCCCUCUCAUUCACCCCAAAAGCAAUUGCACUGCGCACAUCAUGCGUUUGGUUUGUGCGACACCGCUUCUGUGGAACACGAACACACCCGGACACUAGCACACAGACGCUCCCCCGGCAGACCGGAAAAACCAUGGCGGGGAGCAUACGCCCGUCCGCCAUGCCGUCUGCCGGCCUGACCCCCCACACCAGUUCCUGCGUACUGCAUUGCUGCUUCUGCAUGGCUGCUCCGGCGCCGCCGCUCCUGUGGGAUGCCCCUUCCCGAACCGCUGCGGCAGUGAGCACCGCCGCAGCCGCAGCCAUCCGUUCGGCCUUCCCCGAUGUCUUCCGCGCCGCAGCUGCGGCAGUGCACCGCCGCAGCUAUGCACUGCCUCGGCUCCUCGCAUAUCCCUGUACCCUCUCCCCAUGCCCCCAAAACCAAAGCUGCGGCAGUGAGCACCGCCGCAGCUACGCACCGCCCCCCCGCUGCAGCAACGCAUCUCCGCCCGCGCUGAUCCCGGUACGCUGUUGGUCUGCGGCCGCAUAUUCACGUCAAGCUAUCCGUCAUUCGUCGGCAGUUGGUCACCCGGAUGCUAAGCCGGGGGUGUUCGUCACCCAGACGACUUCCUGCUGGGGGAGUUUGUCGCCCAGACUCCUCCUGGGGGUCCAGUCACCCUGGGCGGGGGAGUUCGUCACCCAGACUCCUCCUGGGAGAGUUCGUCACCCAGACUCCUCCUGGGAGAGUUCGUCACCCAGACUCCUCCUGGGAGAGUUCGUCACCCAGACUCCUCCUGGGCCUGCCGCGGCCGCAGACUACAUGCUCUGUCGACGCGGUUUCGCCCGCUGCGGCUCGCGCUGCUGACCUCUCCGUGCCGGAUCUCUCUCAAACGAUAGUGCUCUCGCAUUUUCUGGCUGCUACUCGCGCCUGCUGCUGCGCGCGCCUGCUUUGAUCCCCAGCUCGCCCAUGACCUGCAUUCAAACGCCAAAGGGCCUCGCCAGCGGUGCAUGCCUCACAUCUUACCAGUCAACAAAAGAGAGCGCCAGCAAGCGCACGCGGCCUCCUAACCAGGAACUCGAUAGCUUUCCGAAGCACGGCGGCAUAAGUUGCUCGCUCAUCAGCUACCGUACGCAAACGCAACUUAAUAAAACAAACCCCACAGAAAGACAGCAUUUGAGACCUCGAUGUGAUGGUGAAUGCGGCCUUCAGAGCGACACACGAAACCCCGGGCCCUGCACUUCUUACCCCCCUGCAACUGAACCACCUCCCGCUCAAACACUGCUCCCUACUUCAAAACUUGUUUUAAGCUCCGGUCAGUCGGCAAGCUCCUGGAGCCUUCGCUUAAAACAGCCCUUUGUCGCAUUGAAUGCGUAGGUCGCUCAAGGUGUUUGUAAGCACCGCCAGGUCAUCGGCGUCCCUCAAAAAAAAAAAAGGCGGCUGAGGAGCAGUGGUACCUGUUGUUGAGGUGGUUUGGUAAGCAGCCGUAGGAGUAGCCGCGGCCUCCUACGUGGAGCCACCGUAUAAGCGGUUCGAUAAACAUCAGAAAGAGUACAGGGGAGAGUGUGUCGCCCUGGACUGUGCCUCGUUCAAUGUGUACCGGGGAGGUAAGGCCGUGUUCAGUGCGUAUGUAACUACGGGCAUUUACGUAAAGGUUUUGUACGACGCGUAUCAAGUCAUGGGGCAUCCCCAGGUCCCACAUAAUUUCCAGUAGGCGGUCAUGUGAUAUGGUGUUGAAGGCGCUGGAGAAGUCUGCGUACAUAACAUAGAUAUCCUGGUUAGUCAGGCCGGCGUCUUCUAGGGCGUGAACGAGGUUUAAGGUCUGGCGUUCCGUGUUACGGUAGCAUAGGAAGCCUUCCUGAGUUUCACUGAACAGGUCCAGGUCGUGUGAUAUGUCAGAGAUGGCCACCGUGAUGAGACUAGUCCAGAGCUUAUACGUGGUGUUGGCCAGGGCAAUAGGGCGGUAGUUCUUAAGCAGAAGGGGGUCUCCAGGUUUGGGGAGCAGGACAGUCUCGCUGGCAGUCCACGAGGCAGGUGUGUGGGCCCUGACCCACAUUAGGAUAAGUAGGUUGUGGAGUGCCGUGCGCAAGGGUGUCGGUAGGGCGCGUAGUAGCUCGUUUGGAAUGCCGUCAGGUCCCGGGGAUUUGUUUCUGCUUAGGUGGUCUAUGCAUGUGUCAAAAUUGGCGCUGUCGGAGAUGCUUGGCAGCAGUGCGUGGGUAGUCGGGCUGCAUGUACUGUGCAGUUUGAAAGUGUCUGGUGCGGUUCUGUUGCUGGGGUCAAAAGGGUACCUGGUGUUCGGGUGUCUGUCUUCGGGUUUAUAGUUGCCAGUGCGCGGUCCAGUGAUGGUGGCCCUUUGGUCCUGGAAAUAUGUGUGGAUAGCCUCCAAGAUGGAUGCUUUGUCCGUACAGUGUGCUUUGGUGUAGGGGUGUAGGACAGCGGGGAUACCGCGGGCCUGUUCUUGGUUGGAGAAGAUGUCUUUGUGUGCUUGUUUAGCUCUUGUGGCUAGUUUGUGUUGGAAGCGGGCUCUGGAUUUUUGUACCUCUGAUUGUGUUAGCUUUUUGAGGGUUUGGCGUAGUGUGCUUCAAAAAAAAAAAAAAAAAAAAAAAAAACACGCUUGAUUGCAGCGGAUCUGCAGGCCGCCGCAGAGGGGUCCGGUGACGGCGCCCUAAGUGAUGCCGAGCUGAUGGCAGCGCUGGCUGGCUCCGCCAAUGGUAAAGCGCCUGGGUCGGACGGGGUCCCGUACGAGGUGUACAAGGUUUUCUGGGCGCUGCUGGGUCCGCGCUUGUGUGCUGCUGCUGCCGCUGCCUUUGCUGCUGCUGCAGACGCCCACGAUGGUGGUGAAAUGGCGGCGGCGCUGCCUGCUUCCUGGCGGGAGGGCAUCAUUACGCUCAUCUACAAGGGCAAAAGCCUGGACCGCGCCGAGCUGGCGUCCUUUUUUUUUUUUUUUGAGGAAUCAUCCUUACAAGGUUGAACAGGGGCAGACGCGCUGCCCCCCUGCUGCCUGAAGACAGCCUGGUCCCCGAGACCAGAACCCUGACAGGGCAAGAAGAGAAGAAAAGAGAAGAAAAACAGAAAACAAACACCUCGAAAACCGCCACCAACCACCCCCAUCCAUCCCACCCCACCCCACCCCGACCCGGCAGACAGAGCAGGAGGCUGGCCCCCCCGCCCCCCGGGAGGGGUUGCACAAAAACACCGCCAGACCUAACCCAAGCACCAACCUACACCACAGCCUAACCGCAAGAACCACCACCACCGCGCGCCAGAAAAGAAAACACCAGCGCUACGCACUCGCCCCGCCCAAACCCACCCCACCCCCACAAGUCGGUUGCUUAAGCAACACCCCAGGAGAACCGGCAAAGGAGACACAAGCAGAUAACUAAACGGGCCAGAUGUGGCGCUGACUAAGCGGGCUCCAGCCCGCUGCAAGACGCGCUGUGCAGGAAGUCCCACAGCCGCCCAGGCGCUGCGACGCCAGCCAGAGCUAAAACACAUGGGCGCCAGAUAAGCUGAUGAUGAUAAACGCCACGCCAGCACCUGGAACGAACCGCCGCCCAAAAGGAAACCUAGGGGGCCUGCACAGGUGCCCCCCGACUAGCGUGGCUGUCCCACAGCCUCCGCCACGUACCCCGCAGAAGGGACGCAUCCGGGGGCGGCAUGCGAGGGUCGCCCUCCACCGCCGCCGCUGCUGCCGCUGCCGCCGUGGCAGGCCCAGUGCUAGGUCCCGCCCCUCCCGCCGCCUGCUCCUGCAGCCGCGCGGAACGCCGCGGCCCCUCACCCGACUGCUGGGACGGGGACGCAUACGACUGCAGUUCUCUCGCCGGCGUGUUCUGCUGCCCGGCUGCCGCGGAGGUGCGGUGGAGCCAGGGGUCCAGAGCCACCGGGUUAUUGUGGAAAUGCUGCGCCGCCGUGGUGGUCAGCUGCGCCGCUGCACGCUGCCACUCCGCCUCCCGCUCCGCCAGCCGCGACUGUGCCGCUGGCUGGUUCCCCGACCCCCCCGCCUGCUGAGCUGGCGCCGGGCACGGCAUGGCUGCGGGGCGGGCCGGAGCCGGAGGUGCGGCCGGGUUAGCCGCGGUGAUGGCCCGCCGCACGUCCCGCACCGUGUAGUCCGCCAAGCUGACACCCGCAAUCCGGCAGUGCUCCGGGUGCACCACCACCCCAGCCUCCGGCGCCAGGAAGUACGGCGCCCGAGGCCACGCCCCCGCCCGUUCCCCUGGUGAUGCUGCAUCGUACGCCGCCCGCUCUUCAAAGGUCCACAGGUGCCGCGGCUUGCGAUGCUGCAGCACACAGGCAGGCUGCCACGCCCCAUCCACCGCCGGGGGCAGCACGCCAGGCCCAGGCUCCAAGAGCCGCCCCGUGUAGUGGACGUAGGACACAGCCCCCGCAGCGUUAGCCACCCACAGCUGGUCCAGGCUAACCCGCCACUGUGGCGGCGCCGCUGGCGGCUGAGUGGCUGGCUGCGGCGGAUGCUGCUCCACGCCCGCGCUCCGCACGUGGCCGACCGCGGCCGCCAGCCGGGCAGGCAGCCCCGCUGGCGCCGGCGCGUCGCUGUACACCCACGCCCACGUGGUGGCGGAGUCCGGGCGCACAUGGGUAAGCAGCGCCCGGGUGAGCGUCUUCCAGGGUUGCCGGCCUGGCUGGGCAAGGAGGGCGAAAGUCUUAGCUUGCAGGGCAGACAGGAACGCAGGCAGGUUGACGUGGUUGACACCCCCAUCCUUGUACGGCAGACAGGCCGUUUCCCGCUUUGGCAGCAGGAGCGGGUUCCCGUGCGACACCAGGCUGGCGUCCUCAGCGUGCAUGGAGCGCGCAGCAAAGUGGUCCACCAGGUCGGUGAGGUCCUUCAGCUGCGCAGGCGACGGGUUGAGGAAGCUGAAGUGGUAGGCCAGCUUCGCCGCCAGCACCUGCUUCGCAAUGUGCACACGGCCAACGAGGGUCAGAGACAGGGCAGCCCACAGACGCGCCACAAACGCCAUGCCGCGAGCCCGCCGGGUGUACAAGUCAGCUGCAGCCGCAUCAGAGUCCCACGACAGGGGCACACCCAGGUGCGUCACGGCGCCAGUGGUAAACGGCACCCCCGUGUGUGGGCAAGGGCCCGUCAGGUGCGCAAACCUGCCAAGGCCCAUGGCCUUGCUCUUGUCCGGAUGGACACGGGCGUUGGACGCGCGGCAGAACAGCUGUACUGCCGCCAUCAGGACCGGCCCGUCCACCGCCGGGUCGCGCGCCGUGAGGGUCGUGUCGUCAGCGUGGUGGGCAGCAGGUGGCGCCUGCUCGCCGCUGGGUAACAGGGGCGUGCGCAGUGCCCCUUGCUCCACCUGCCGCCGCAGAAAGGACGUCAGUGGCUGCAUCUGGAUGACCCACAGGGGUGGUGAGGCGGUGCUGCCCUGCGGCAAGCCGUUCAGCACUGGGAAGGCGUCAGAGAGCAUCCCGUUCACACACACGCGGGCAGAGCCGUUGGCAGUGAGCAGGCGGAUCCAGCGCAGCAUGCGCGGCCCAANNNNNNNNNNNNNNNNNNNNNNNNNNNNNNNNNNNNNNNNNNNNNNNNNNNNNNNNNNNNNNNNNNNNNNNNNNNNNNNNNNNNNNNNNNNNNNNNNNNNUGUCGUCAGCGUGGUGGGCAGCAGGUGGCGCCUGCUCGCCGCUGGGUAACAGGGGCGUGCGCAGUGCCCCUUGCUCCACCUGCCGCCGCAGAAAGGACGUCAGUGGCUGCAUCUGGAUGACCCACAGGGGUGGUGAGGCGGUGCUGCCCUGCGGCAAGCCGUUCAGCACUGGGAAGGCGUCAGAGAGCAUCCCGUUCACACACACGCGGGCAGAGCCGUUGGCAGUGAGCAGGCGGAUCCAGCGCAGCAUGCGCGGCCCAAACCCAAGUCCCUCCGCGGACGCAUACAGCCACUGCCGGUGCACCCGGUCAUACGCCUUUUCAAUGUCCAAGAAGUACAGCGCACCACCCUGCCGUGGCGCGCCGUCCGCGCCCACGUCCAGGCGCAUCCAUUCGAUCAGGCCUUGGAGGUACAGCGCGUUGUCUCCAAUCCAGCGGCCGGUGAUGAACGCGGUCUGCAGCUCAUCCACAACUGCAUCCAGGGCGGGCUGCAGGCGGGCGCUGACGGCCUUGGACACCAUCUUGAAGUCGCAGUUGAGCAGCGUGAUGGGCCGGUAGGACGCCAGCUCGGCGCGGUCCAGGCUUUUGCCCUUGUAGAUGAGCGUAAUGAUGCCCUCCCGCCAGGAGGCAGGCAGCGCCGCCGCCAUUUCGCCGCCAUCGUGGGCGUCUGCAGCGGCAGCAAAGGCAGCGGCAGCAGCAGCACACAAGCGCGGGCCCAGCAGCGCCCAGAAGACCUUGUACACCUCGUACGGAACCCCGUCCGACCCAGGUGCUUUACCAUUGGCGGAGCCAGCCAGCGCUGCCAUCAGCUCGGCAUCACUGAGGGCGCCGUCCCCGGACCCCUCUGCGGCGGUGUGCAGAUCCGCCGGAACCUUGCGGUCAAUGGCCGCCAGAAGCUGUUGCUGCGACGCCGUACAGACCGGCUGCACACGGAACAGGCCGGUGGGGCUGGUGCUGCUGUACAUGGCUGCGGCGGCUGCGAAGACAGUGUUGCGCGUGCCCGGCCCCGUGAGCGCCACAGGCGCCGGUUGCCCCGGCACCUUCAAGUGCGUGAUGGGCUCCUGCGCGCCGGCUGCUGGCUCGUCAGCCUGCCGAUGGAACCAGCGAGUGCCCCGCUCCCCAUGCUCCUCCAUCAGUGCAGCGCGGGCAUUGUGGCUGGCCGCUGCGGCAGCUGCCCGCUCCUCCCGCACCGCCAAGUUGGCCAUGGCCGCAGCCUGACGCUGCGUGGCGCUGGCACCCGGCCGGUCGGCCAGGGCAGCGGCCGUGUCUGCGGCCAGCACCACGCCAUGCAGCCCAUCCCGGGUCUGGCGUGCAUGCCGACGGUGGAUGCUGGUGGCGGCCUCCCGCAAGAAGAACUUGUCCGCCUCCCAUUGCGUGCAAGCGCCGUCACCUGUACUGGCCACGGGAUUGGCGGCAACGUGCGCCUCCAAGCGCUGCUCGAGCUCCAGACGCAGCGAGGGGUGAAACAGCAGGUAUUUUUUUUUUGAGGAAUCAUCCUUACAAGGUUGAACAGGGGCAGACGCACUGCCCCCCUGCUGCCUGAAAGCAGCCUGGUCCCCGAGACCAGAACCCUGAAAGGGCAAGAAGAGAAGAAAAGAGAAGAAAACAGAAAACAAACACCUCGAAAACCGCCAACAACCACCCCCACCCAUCCCACCCCACCCCACCCCGACCCGGCAGACAGAGCAGGAGGCUGGCCCCCCCGCCCCCCGGGAGGGGUUGCACAAAAACACCGCCAGACCAAACCCAAGCACCAACCUACACCACAGCCUAACCGCAAGAACCACCACCACCGCGCGCCAGAAAAAGAAACACCAGCGCUACGCACUCGCCCCGCCCAAACCCACCCCACCACCACAAGUCGGUUGCUUAAGCAACACCCCAGGAGAACCGGCAGAGGAGACACAAGCAGAAAACUAAACGGGCCAGAUGUGGCGCUGACUAAGCGGGCUCCAGCCCGCUGCAAGAUGCGCUGUUCAGGAAGGCCCACAGCCGCCCAGGCGCUGCGACGCCAGCCAGAGCUAAAACACAUGGGCGCCAGAUAAGCUGAUGACGAUAAUACGCCACGCCAGCGCCUGGAAAGAAACGCCGCCCAAAAGGAAACCUAGGGGGCCUGCACAGGUGAUGCAAGCGUCAGCCGCAAGUUCAACUUCGGUGACCCACCCUGAACCUCCUCCACUUCACAAAGCGCGCCACCCGCCGUCCAGAUGGCAACAAAGUGCUCCAGCUUAGCCGCCUUGAGCUGUGCGGUGAGAAGCUGAGUGGGCAGAGCCGACAGGGUUUGAGGGGUUAGCGUGGCGGCAGUGAAACGCAGCUGCAUCACCCUGCGCAGCUCGCUGACAACCUCCCGAACCACAUGCUCCGACGUCUGCUUAGCAGGCUCGCGGGACCAGUACGCACACCAGACGGCGUACAAGAAGGUGGCCCGCAAAGUGCUCCACAGCAGCGCGCCCGCCCCCCGCGGGCCUGAGGCCCACAUACCCAUGCGGUCCCCCAGCAUGAAGCCCGCGUCCGUCACUGGCGGCGCCGCUGCCUGGGGCGCAACGCAGGCCCACAGCUGCUGCAGCCACGUCCUCGCCUGCGCAUAAGCUGGACACUCCAGGAAGAUGUGCGUCAGGCUGGCCCACGCCCGCGGGCCAGGUGGCCCGCAGGCGGGGUGAGGACAGUGCGCCCCCAACCCCCCGCACCCCGUGGUCACCCGUGACCGAAUGCCCUUGCCCGCCCUGUACAGCCCGCAAGGCAGGUAAGCAUGUUGCAGCCGGUACACCAGCACCUUUGCCCCCCGACUAGCGUGGCUGUCCCACAGCCUCCGCCACGUACCCCACAGAAGGGACGCAUCCGGGGGCGGCAUGCGAGGGUCGCCCUCCACCGCCGCCGCUGCUGCCGCCGCCGCCGUGGCAGGCCCCGUGCUAGGCCCCGCCCCGCCCGCCGCCUGCUCCUGCAGCCGCGCGGAACGCCGUGGCCCCUCACCCGACUGCUGGGACGGGGACGCAUACGACUGCAGUUCUCUCGCCGGCGUGUUCUGCUGCCCGGCUGCCGCGGAGGUGCGGUGGAGCCAGGGGUCCAGAGCCACCGGGUUAUUGUGGAAGUGCUGCGCCGCCGUGGUGGUCAGCUGCGCCGCUGCACGCUGCCACUCCGCCUCCCGCUCCGCCAGCCGCGACUGUGCCGCCGGCUGGGUCCCCGAACCCCCCGCCUGCUGUGCUGGCGCCGGGCACGGCAUGGCUGCGGGGCGGGCCGGAGCCAGAGGGGCGGCCGGGUUGGCCGCGGUGAUGGCCCGCCGCACGUCCCGCACCGUGUAGUCCGCCAAGCUGACACCCGCAAUCCGGCAGUGCUCCGGGUGCACCACCACCCCAGCCUCCGGCGCCAGGAAGUACGGCGCCCGAGGCCACGCCCCUGCCCGUUCCCCUGGUGAUGCUGCAUCGUACGCCGCCCGCUCUUCAAAGGUCCACAGGUGCCGCGGCUUGCGGUGCUGCAGCACACAGGCAGGCUGCCACGCCCCAUCCACUGCCGGGGGCAGCACGCCAGGCCCAGGCUCCAAGAGCCGCCCCGUGUAGUGGACGUAGGACACAGCCCCCGCAGCGUUAGCCACCCACAGCUGGUCCAGGCUAACCCGCCACUGUGGCGGCGCCGCUGGCGGCUGAGUGGCUGGCUGCGGCGGACGCUGUUCCACGCCCGCGCUCCGCACGUGGCCGACCGCGGCCGCCAGCCGGGCAGGCAGCCCCGCUGGCGCCGGCGCGUCGCUGUACACCCACGCCCACGUGGUGGCAGAGUCCGGGCGCACGUGAGUAAGCAGCGCCCGGGUGAGCGUCUUCCAGGGUUGCCGGCCUGGCUGGGCAAGCAGGGCGAAAGUCUUAGCUUGCAGGGCAGACAGGAACGCAGGCAGGUCGACAUGGUUGAUACCCCCAUCCUUGUACGGCAGACAGGCCGUUUCCCGCUUUGGCAGCAGGAGCGGGUUCCCGUGCGACACCAGGCUGGCAUCCUCAGCGUGCACGGAGCGCGCAGCAAAGUGGUCCACCAGGUCGGUGAGUUCCUUCAGCUGCGCAGGCGAUGGGUUGAGGAAGCUGAAGUGGUAGGCCAGCUUCGCCGCCAGCACCUGCUUCGCAAUGUGCACACGGCCAACCAGGGUCAGAGACAGGGCAGCCCACAGACGCGCCACAAACGCCAUGCCGCGAGCCCGCCGGGUCAGCUGCAGCCGCAUCAGAGUCCCACGACAGAGGCACACCCAGGUGCGUCACGGCGCCAGUGGUAAACGGCACCCCCGUGUGUGGGCAAGGGCCCGUCAGGUGCGCAAACCUGCCAAGGCCCAUGGCCUUGCUCUUGUCCGGAUGGACACGGGCGUUGGACGCGCGGCAGAACAGCUGUACUGCCGCCAUCAGGACCGGCCCGUCCACCGCCGGGUCGCGCGCCGUGAGGGUCGUGUCGUCAGCGUGGUGGGCAGCAGGUGGCGCCUGCUCGCCGCUGGGUAACAGGGGCGUGCGCAGUGCCCCUUGCUCCACCUGCCGCCGCAGAAAGGACGUCAGUGGCUGCAUCUGGAUGACCCACAGGGGUGGUGAGGCGGUGCUGCCCUGCGGCAAGCCGUUCAGCACUGGGAAGGCGUCAGAGAGCAUCCCGUUCACACACACGCGGGCAGAGCCGUUGGCAGUGAGCAGGCGGAUCCAGCGCAGCAUGCGCGGCCCAAACCCCAGUCCCUCUGCGGACGCAUACAGCCACUGCCGGUGCACCCGGUCAUACGCCUUUUCAAUGUCCAAGAAGUACAGCGCACCACCCUGCCGUGGCGUGCCGUCCGCGCCCACGUCCAGGCGCAUCCAUUCGAUCAGGCCUUGGAGGUACAGCGCGUUGUCUCCAAUCCAGCGGCCGGUGAUGAACGCGGUCUGCAGCUCAUCCACAACUGCAUCCAGGGCGGGCUGCAGGCGGGCGCUGACGGCCUUGGACACCAUCUUGAAGUCGCAGUUGAGCAGCGUGAUGGGCCGGUAGGACGCCAGCUCGGCGCGGUCCAGGCUUUUGCCCUUGUAGAUGAGCGUAAUGAUGCCCUCCCGCCAGGAGGCGGGCAGCGCCGCCGCCAUUUCACCGCCAUCGUGGGCGUCUGCAGCGGCAGCAAAGGCAGCGGCAGCAGCAGCACACAAGCGCGGACCCAGCAGCGCCCAGAAGACCUUGUACACCUCGUACGGGACCCCGUCCGACCCAGGCGCUUUACCAUUGGCGGAGCCAGCCAGCGCUGCCAUCAGCUCGGCAUCACUUAGGGCGCCGUCACCGGACCCCUCUGCGGUGGCCUGCAGAUCCGCUGGAACCUUGCGGUCAAUGGCCGCCAGGAGCUGUUGCUGCGACGCCGUACAGACCGGCUGCACGCGGAACAGGCCGGUGGGGCUGGUGCUGCUGUACAUGGCUGCGGCGGCUGCGGAGACAGUGUUGCGCGUGCCCGGCCCCGUGAGCGCCACAGGCGCCGGUUGCCCCGGCACCUUCAAGUGUGUGAUGGGCUCCUGCGCGCCGGCUGCUGGCUCGUCCGCCUGCCGAUGGAACCAGCGAGUUCCCCGCUCCCCAUGCUCCUCCAUCAGUGCAGCGCGGGCAUUGUGGCUGGCCGCUGCGGCAGCUGCCCGCUCCUCCCGCACCGCCAAGUUGGCCAUGGCCGCAGCCUGACGCUGCGCGGCGCUGGCACCCGGACGGUCGGCCAGGGCAGCGGCCGCGUCUGCGGCCAGCACCACGCCAUGCAGCCCAUCCCGGGUCUGGCGUGCAUGCCGACGGUGGAUGCUGGUGGCGGCCUCCCGCAAGAAGAACUUGUCCGCCUCCCAUUGCGUGCAAGCGCCGUCACCUGUACUGGCCACGGGAUUUGCGGCAACGUGCGCCACCAAGCGCUGCUCGAGCUCCAAACGCAGCGAGGGGUGAAACAGCAGGUACGUGGGGAAGCGCCACUGCUCCCGGUGCGCAUGUGGCAGGUCGGGCAAGGACAGGGUGAGCAGCACACCGUUGUGGUCCCCAGGCGCCCCAUACGUGCGAGCGACAUCCACCACCCACGGCGCCGCGGUGGCACUGACAUACCACCGAUCCAGGCGUGCGGGAGUGGCCGGUUUGGGUGUGGCCGGAUGCGUGUAGCCCUUGGCGCCGCCACGCUUGCUCGCCCAAGGGUCCACCAGACUGAACUGGGCGAGGAGGCUGGCAAGUUGCGGGGCACCUGCAGCACGUGACGGGCUAGGGGCCGCCUCCUGACUGGCAUCGGUGACACAGUUCCAGUCCCCACCGACAACAAGCACCCUGUCCGUGGCCAGGUGGGGAUGCAGCCCGGCAAAGAAUGCAGGCUUGUCCGCCACGGCCGUGGGCGCAUACACACACACGAAGCGCAGGCGCAGGUGACCCACGUCCCAAUCCCAACAUACCACACGGCCCGCCGCAUCCGUUGACGGCGGCUGCAGUACGCGGCCUGGAAGGGACAGCCGACUCCGCGCCAGGAUAGCCGCCCCACAGGAGUGGGGCGACGCUGCCGGGCUGGCAGCGAGGCAGUGGCGCCACGGAAGGCACGCCCCCUGCGCGGCACGAAGGCAAGACUCCAGCGCCGUCGUGUCAGUAGCGUGGGUCUCCUGCACCAUCGCCACAUCCGCCCCAACUUGCUGCAGGUGCGAGACCAGCGCCCGCGCCUUGGGCGGCGAGCCCAGGCCGUUGACAUUCACUGUCAGCAGCCGAAGGUUCGCCGCGCGCACUGGUGGCCGCAUUAUGAGCCCCCGCCGGCCACGGCAGCGCCGUGGCAGUUGCGGUUGCUGUUGCUGCUGUGGCGUGUGCCGCGGCGGCCGCCACCCUGGCUGGGGGGCGCGCCGCCGCAGCUGGUGCUCAUGCUAGCGGCGCCUGAGCUGGCGCCGCCGGGGCGCAAUGGAGGGCUGCCCAGGCUCAUGAGGCUGGAAGUACUGCGGCUGCGGUGUUGGCGUUGCCGGCGGCUGGGCCCGCCGGCACCGCCGGGGUCCUCCUGUCCACGCUAAGCGGACCGCAGGGUGCGGGCGUCUAGGAGCACGUAGUCCAUGUAGGCCGUCUGCACCUGCUGCGCGGCGUCAUCCAGCUGCUCCGUCACGUCGGAAGGCAGGGGCGUGCCUGCAGGCUGGGCAGAGUACAGGCGCCACCAGCCAGUGAACUCGUCGCGCAGCUGUGCCAGGACGGCGGUACGGCCUGCCGGCACACGGCAGACAGCCCAGUCCGGUACGGUGGCGCCCUGGUCACGGAGGUAGCCGAGGAGGCGGCCACCAAGCGCGUCGCGGCCAAGCUGCGCCCACUCAUACCCCUGCACAUCUGCGCAGCGGUUCUGGUAAGUCACGAGGUCAGAGCCGAUGGCAACACACGUGUCACGAUUCAGGCAGACGGCCCCGUACUCCGCCUCACUGCCCGCACCCCCACCAGCGCGCCCAGCCGUGUCGGCCGAAACCCCAGCCGGCACGCCCAGGCCCCUGCCCCUGCCCUUACCACCACCCGCCGGUUGUGACGUCUGCGGUGGCGGCCCCGCCUGGGGCGGUGGCUGGGGCACUGCCCGCCCCGCUCCUCCACCCUGGCGCCCCGACCCGCUGCCCCCACCAGCGUGCUGUCCCCCCGCCGGCCGCCCAGUGGGCACGUGCGGCGGCGAGCUAGCACCGUCCUGCGGGGGAGGCAGCCCGCCGCCCAAGCGCCCUGCCCUCUGCUGCGGGAGCUGGGCGAGGCCACAGCGCCCUUUGGAGCGGGGCUGUUGCUGCGGCGGCGGCUGCGGUGUGUGCGCGGCUGGUUGCACCCGUCGCCCACGCCCGGACGCCACCGUGGCAGCGCCAUCACCCGCCCCGUCCUGUCCCCCCAGCGUGGCCAGGACCCCAAACCGGGAGCCGGUCCGGGGCAUAAGCGACUGCACCUGGCGCUGCUGCUCCUGCUGCUGCUGUUGCUCUACCCGCCGUUGCUGCUGGAGAGUGAGUUCCGCCAAAUCGGCCAAGUACUGCCGCAUCACAACUUGCAGCUUCUGCUCCUGCCUAGCAGCUGCCCGCUGAUCAAAGGGCGGCUGUGGCGCGGGAGCCCCACUGGGCGGCUGCUGCGCGCCAGCCGGCCCAGCAUCGGCAGUGCGACGCAUGGCCGCCGGCGGCCCCCCCACGCCUGCCGACGGCUGCCCCCCGCUAAGCCCUCCCGCUGCCCCCCGCUGCUGUGAAGAGGGCUGCUGCUGCCGCUCGGCCCUCAGGGGAGCCGCAGCAGCACGGGUGCUUCCCCCCGCCACCAGAGCUGGCCGCGAGGGCGAGGCCCCGCUGUGUGGCCUGCUGGCGCCACCAGCGGCAGCCGCUGCGUCACCCAAACCCGCCGCCUCCUGCAUCUGCACGUCCCCCAUGUGGUCAACUAUGUCAACACGUUGCCCACGCCGUGACGCCGCCGUGCCAGCGCCACCGCCCGCCCCGUCCUGCCCCCCCCGCGUGGCCAGGACCCUAACCUGGGAGCCGGUCCGGGGCCUGGGCGACUGCCCCUGGCGCUGCAGCUCCUGCUGCUGCUGUUGCUGUAACCGCCGUUGCUGCUGGAGAGUGAGUUCCGCCAAAUCGGCCAAGUACUGCUGCAUCACAGCGGUCUGUUCCUGGUCCUGCCCGGCGGCUGCCCGCUGAUCCAAGGGCGGCCGUGGCGCGGGAGCGCCACUGUGCUGCUGCUGCGCGUCAGCCGGCCCAGCACCGGCAGGGCAGGUAUGUGGGGAAGCGCCACUGCUCCCGGUGCGCAUGUGGCAGGUCGGGCAAGGACAGGGUGAGCAGCACACCGUUGUGGUCCCCAGGCGCCCCAUACGUGCGAGCGACAUCCACCACCCACGGCGCCGCGGUGGCACUGACAUACCACCGAUCCAGGCGUGCGGGAGUGGCCGGCUUGGGCGUGGCUGGAUGCGUGUAGCCCUUGGCGCCGCCACGCUUGCUCGCCCAAGGGUCCACCAGACUGAACUGGGCGAGGAGGCUGGCAAGUUGCGGGGCACCUGCAGCACGUGACGGGCUAGGGGCCGCCUCCUGACUGGCAUCGGUGACACAGUUCCAGUCCCCACCGACAACAAGCACCCUGUCCGUGGCCAGGUGGGGAUGCAGCCCGGCAAAGAAAGCAGGCUUGUCCGCCACGGCCGUGGGCGCAUACACACACAUGAAGCGCAGGCGCAAGUGACCCACGUCCCAAUCCCAACAUACCACACGGCCCGCCGCAUCCGUUGACGGCGGCUGCAGUACGCAGCCGGGAAGGGACAGCCGACUCCGCGCCAGGAUAGCCGCCCCACAGGAAUGGGGCGACGCUGCCGGGCUGGCAGCGAGGCAGUGGCGCCACGGAAGGCACGCCCCCUGCGCGGCACGAAGGCAAGACUCCAGCGCCGUCGUGUCAGUAGCGUGGGUCUCCUGCACCAUCGCCACAUCCGCCCCAACUUGCUGCAGGUGCGAGACCAGCGCCCGCGCCUUGAGCGGCGAGCCCAGGCCGUUGACAUUCACUGUCAGCAGCCGAAGGUUCGCCGCUCCCACUGGUGGCCGCAUUACGAGCCCCCGGCAGCGCCGUGGCGGUUGCGGUUGCUGUUGCUGCUGUGGCGUUUGCGGCGGGGGGCGCCACCCUGGCUGGGGGGCGCGCCGCCGCUGUCCUACCGGCCUAUCACGCUGCUCAACUGCGACUUCAAGAUGGUGUCCAAGGCCGUCAGCGCCCGCCUGCAGCCCGCCCUGGAUGCAGUUGUGGAUGAGCUGCAGACCGCGUUCAUCACCGGCCGCUGGAUUGGUGACAACGCGCUGUACCUCCAAGGCCUGAUCGAAUGGAUGCGCCUGGACGUGGGCGCGGACGGCACGCCACGGCAGGGUGGUGCGCUGUACUUCUUGGACAUUGAAAAGGCGUAUGACCGGGUGCACCGGCAGUGGCUGUAUGCGUCCGCGGAGGGACUUGGGUUUGGGCCGCGCAUGCUGCGCUGGAUCCGCCUGCUCACUGCCAACGGCUCUGCCCGCGUGUGUGUGAAUGGGAUGCUCUCUGACGCCUUCCCAGUGCUGAACGGCUUGCCGCAGGGCAGCACCGCCUCACCACCCCUGUGGGUCAUCCAGAUGCAGCCACUGACGUCCUUUCUGCGGCGGCAGGUGGAGCAAGGGGCACUGCGCACGCCCCUGUUACCCAGCGGCGAGCAGGCGCCACCGGCUGCCCACCACGCUGACGACACGACCCUCACGGCGCGCGACCCGGCGGUGGACGGGCCGGUCCUGAUGGCGGCAGUACAGCUGUUCUGCCGCGCGUCCAACGCCCGUGUCCAUCCGGACAAGAGCAAGGCCAUGGGCCUUGGCAGGUUUGUUGCCAUCUGGACGGCGGGUGGCGCGCUUUGUGAAGUGGAGGAGGUUCAGGGUGGGUCACCGAAGUUGAACUUGCGGCUGACGCUUGCAUCACCUGUGCAGGCCCCCUAGGUUUCCUUUUGGGCGGCGUUUCUUUCCAGGCGCUGGCGUGGCGUAUUAUCGUCAUCAGCUUAUCUGGCGCCCAUGUGUUUUAGCUCUGGCUGGCGUCGCAGCGCCUGGGCGGCUGUGGGACUUCCUGCACAGCGCGUCUUGCAGCGGGCUGGAGCCCGCUUAGUCAGCGCCACAUCUGGCCCGUUUAGUUUUCUGCUUGUGUCUCCUCUGCCGGUUCUCCUGGGGUGUUGCUUAAGCAACCGACUUGUGGUGGUGGGGUGGGUUUGGGCGGGGCGAGUGCGUAGCGCUUGUGUUUCCUUUUCUGGUGCGCGGUGGUGGUGGUUCUUGCGGUUAGGCUGUGGUGUAGGUUGGUGCUUGGGUUUGGUCUGGCGGUGUUUUUGUGCAACCCCUCCCGGGGGGCGGGGGGGCCAGCCUCCUGCUCUGUCUGCCGGGUCGGGGUGGGGUGGGGUGGGAUGGGUGGGGGUGGUUGUUGGCGGUUUUCGAGGUGUUUGCUUUCUGUUUUCUUCUCUUUUCUUCUCUUCUUGCCCUGUCAGGGUUCUGGUCUCGGGGACCAGGCUGCUUUCAGGCAGCAGGGGGGCAGCGCGUCUGCCCCUGUUCAACCUUGUAAGGAUGAUUCCUUAAAAAAAAAAAGGUUUGCGCACCUGACAGGCCCUUGCCCACACACGGGGGUGCCGUUUACCACUGGCGCCGUGACGCACCUGGGUGUGCCCCUGUCGUGGGACUCUGAGGCGGCUGCAGCUGACUUGUACACCCGGCGGGCUCGCGGCAUGGCGUUUGUGGCGCGUCUGUGGGCUGCCCUGUCUCUGACUCUUGUUGGCCGUGUGCACAUUGCUUUCUGUUUUCUUCUCUUUUCUUCUCUUCUUGCCCUGUCAGGGUUCUGGUCUCGGGGACCAGGCUGCUUUCAGGCAGCAGGGGGGCAGCGCGUCUGCCCCUGUUCAACCUUGUAAGGAUGAUUCCUCAAAAAAAAAAACAUUGCGAAGCAGGUGCUGGCGGCGAAGCUGGCCUACCACUUCAGCUUCCUCAACCCGUCGCCUGCGCAGCUGAAGGACCUCACCGACCUGGUGGACCACUUUGCUGCGCGCUCCAUGCACGCUGAGGACGCCAGCCUGGUGUCGCACGGGAACCCGCUCCUGCUGCCAAAGCAUCACCGGAUCGCUAACUCAGUUAGCAAUUUGACUCGUCCUUACGGCAGAAGGGACCCGGGUACGAAUCCGGAUAAAAGCCCAAUUAUGCAAAAGGCGAAAGAUUGGUGCGAAACUGAUUGGUGAUCCCACGAACGAUAGGUAAUUGCCCUUAGUGGCAAUUGCGGGCUUAUGCCCGCUGCAACCUAGAAAGGUCGUGGUGCAGAAGUCCGAUUUAGUGGCGAGGUCCAAGGUUCAAGACAAGGCUCAAGAUCCAAGGCUCGAGGAGGAGCGCCAUGGCUCCUCGGUUUGCACGAACUGGCAGUGCUCCACUACUAUAACGCGGCGUUUCCCUAGCUCGAUAUGCUAGGUGUGCAGGCUUGGACGUAGUGGACUUUGAAGAGCGGCCUAGGACAUGGAGGUUGUAGUUUGGAGGUUGUGACUCUUUCGUGGUGAGGCGUCAGCGUGAGGGGGGCGGGCCCUCUCGCCCUAGUCACCUUGCCCCGUUAAUCCAUGCCAGGCCCUAUGGGCCGGCGUUGUAAUUAUUAUUAUUAUUUUUGCUGCCAAAGCGGGAAACGGCAUGUCUGACGUACAAGGAUGGGGGUGUCAACCACGUCGACCUGCCUGCGUUCCUGUCUGCCCUGCAAGCUAAGACUUUCGCCCUCCUUGCCCAGCCAGGCCGGCAACCCUGGAAGAUGCUCACCCGGGCGCUGCUUACUCAUGUGCGCCCGGACUCCGCCACCACGUGGGCGUGGGUGUACAGCGACGCGCCGGCGCCCGCGGGGCUGCCUGCCCGGCUGGCGGCCGCGGUCGGCCACGUGCGGAGCGCGGGCGUGGAACAGCAUCCACUGCAGCCAGCCACUCAGCCGCCAGCGGCGCCGCCACAGUGGCGGGUUAGCCUGGACCAGCUGUGGGUGGCUAACGCUGCGGGGGCUGUGUCCUACGUCCACUACACGGGGCGGCUCUUGGAGCCUGGGCCUGGCGUGCUGCCCCCGGGGGUGGAUGGGGCGUGGCAGCCUGCCUGUGUGCUGCAGCAUCGCAAGCCGCGGCACCUGUGGACCUUUGAAGAGCGGGCGGCGUACGAUGCAGCAUCACCAGGGGACCGGGCGGGGGCGUGGCCUCGGGCGCCGUACUUCCUGGCGCCGGAGGCUGGGGUGGUGGUGCACCCGGAGCACUGCCGGAUUGCGGGUGUCAGCUUAGCAGACUACACGGUGCGGGACGUGCGGCGGGCCAUCACCGCGGCCAACCCGGCCGCACCUCCGGCUCCGGCCCGCCCCGCAGCCAUGCCGUGCCCGGCGCCAGCUCAGCAGGCGGGGGGGUCGGGGCCCCAGCCGGCGGCACAGUCGCGGCUGGCGAAGCAAGAGGCGGAGUGGCAGCGUGCAGCGGCGCAGCUGACCACCACAGCGGCGCAGCAUUUCCACAAUAACCCGGUGGCUCUGGACCCCUGGCUCCACCGCACCUCCACGGCAGCCGGGCUGCAGAACACGCCAGAGGGGGGGUCGUCUAAAUGGUUAAGACACUCAAGCCGAUUUCGUUAAGGCUUCGAGAGAUCCUGGGUUUGAAUCCCGGUCACCCCACCAGGAAGGGCCCUGGUUUACCAAAACCCAUCCACACCUUGGUGGUGUGUAGACCCCCCCUGUGGUGCAGGGAGUCUCUGGGGUACAAGGCUGGAGCUCUGGGCCUGCAACUGGAGAGCUUUCAAGUUCAAGAUCCAAGAUUCAAGUGGAGCUCUGGGCCUGUCAACUGGAGAGCUCUAGAUGAUCUGUGUGGUCAUGGCAGUGGCUGUAGUUGUCACCUAGCUGUUGAGAACUCCAGUAGGUGUGUGGUGUCACCUAGCUGUUGACGUCUCCAGUAGGUGUGUGGUGGAACAAACACUUCUCUUCUCUUCUCUGAUCUCUGGCCCUAUCGAGGUUCUGUGAUAUGAUCCAGGCUGCCUUGGCAGUAGGGUGGUAGUGCGUCUACCACCGCAACCUUGUAAGGAUGACUUUAAAAAAAAAAAAAACGCCGGCGAGAGAACUGCAGUCAUAUGCGUCCCCGUCCCAGCAGUCGGGUGAGGGGCCGCGGCGGUCCGCGCGGCUGCAGGAGCAGGCGGCGGGAGGGGCGGGACCUAGCACUGGGCCUGCCACGGCGGCGGCGGCAGCAGCGGCGGCGGUGGAGGGCGACCCUCGCAUGCCGCCCCCGGAUGCGUCCCUUCUGCGGGGUACGUGGCGGAGGCUGUGGGACAGCCACGCCAGUCGGGGGGCAAAGGUGCUGGUGUACCGGCUGCAACAUGCUUACCUGCCUUGCGGGCUGUACAGGGCGGGCAAGGGCAUUCGGCCACGGGUGACCACGGGGUGCGGGGGGUUGGGGGCGCACUGUCCUCACCCCGCCUGCGGGCCACCUGGCCUGCGGGCGUGGGCCAGCCUGACGCACAUCUUCCUGGAGUGUCCAGCUUAUGCGCAGGCGAGGACGUGGCUGCAGCAGCUGUGGGCCUGCGUUGCGCCCCAGGCAGCGGCGCCGCCAGUGACGGACGCGGGCUUCAUGCUGGGGGACCGCAUGGGUUUUUUUUUUGAGGAAUCAUCCUUACAAGGUUGAACAGGGGCAGACGCGCUGCCCCCCUGCUGCCUGAAAGCAGCCUGGUCCCCGAGACCAGAACCCUGACAGGGCAAGAAGAGAAGAAAAGAGAAGAAAAACAGAAGCAAACACCUCGAAACCGCCAACAACCACCCCCAUCCAUCCCACCCAACCCCACCCCGACCCGGCAGACAGAGCAGGAGGCUGGCCCCCCCGCCCCCCGGGAGGGGUUGCACAAAAACACCGCCAGACCUAACCCAAGCACAAACCUACACCACAGCCUAACCGCAAGAACCACCACCACCGUGGGUAUGUGGGCCUCAGGCCUGCGGGGGGCGGGCGCGCUGCUGUGGAGCACUUUGCGGGCCACCUUCUUGUACGCCGUCUGGUGUGCGUACUGGUCCCGCGAGCCUGCUAAGCAGACGUCGGAGCAUGUGGUUUGGGAGGUGGUCAGCGAGCUGCGCAGGGUGAUGCAGCUGCGUUUCACUGCCGCCACGCUAACCCCUGACACCCUGUCGGCUCUGCCCACUCAGCUUCUCACCGCACAGCUCAAGGCGGCUAAGCUGGAGCACUUUCUUGCCAUCUGGUCGGCGGGUGGCGCGCUUUGUGAAGUGGAGGAGGUUCAGGGUGGGUCACCGAAGUUGAACUUGCGGCUGACGCUUGCAUCACCUGUGCAGGCCCCCUAGGUUUCCUUUUGGGCGGCGGUUCGUUCCAGGCGCUGGCGUGGCGUUUAUCGUCAUCAGCUUAUCUGGCGCCCAUGUGUUUUAGCUCUGGCUGCCGUCGCAGCACCUGGGCGGCUGUGGGACUUCCUGCUCAGCGCGUCUUGCAGCGGGCUGGAGCCCGCUUAGUCAGCGCCACAUCUGGCCCGUUUAGUUUUCUGCUUGUGUCUCCUCUGCCGGUUCUCCUGGGGUGUUGCUUAAGCAACCGACUUGUGGGGGUGGGGUGGGUUUGGGCGGGGCGAGUGCGUAGCGCUGGUGUUUCUUUUUCUGGCGCGCGGUGGUGGUGGUUCUUGCGGUUAGGCUGUGGUGUAGGUUGGUGCUUGGGUUAGGUCUGGCGGUGUUUUUGUGCAACCCCUCCCGGGGGGCGGGGGGGCCAGCCUCCUGCUCUGUCUGCCGGGUCGGGGUGGGGUGGGAUGGAUGGGGGUGGUUGGUGGCGGUUUUCGAGGUGUUUGUUUUCUGUUUUUCUUCUCUUUUCUUCUCUUCUUGCCCUGUCAGGGUUCUGGUCUCGGGGACCAGGCUGCUUUCAGGCAGCAGGGGGGCAGCGCGUCUGCCCCUGUUCAACCUUGUAAGGAUGAUUCCUUAAAAAAAAAAAGGUUUGCGCACCUGACAGGCCCUUGCCCACACACGGGGGUGCCGUUUACCACUGGCGCCGUGACGCACCUGGGUGUGCCCCUGUCGUGGGACUCUGAGGCGGCUGCAGCUGACUUGUACACCCGGCGGGCUCGCGGCAUGGCGUUUGUGGCGCGUCUGUGGGCUGCCCUGUCUCUGACUCUCGUUGGCCGUGUGCACAUUGCGAAGCAGGUGCUGGCGGCGAAGCUGGCCUACCACUUCAGCUUCCUCAACCCGUCGCCUGCGCAGCUGAAGGAACUCACCGACCUGGUGGACCACUUUGCUGCGCGCUCCAUGCACGCUGAGGACGCCAGCCUGGUGUCGCACGGGAACCCGCUCCUGCUGCCAAAGCGGGAAACGGCAUGUCUGACGUACAAGGAUGGGGGUGUCAACCACGUCGACCUGCCUACGUUCCUGUCUGCCCUGCAAGCUAAGACUUUCGCCCUCCUUGCCCAGCCAGGCCGGCAACCCUGGAAGAUGCUCACCCGGGCGCUGCUUACUCAUGUGCGCCCGGACUCCGCCACCACGUGGGCGUGGGUGUACAGCGACGCGCCGGCGCCCGCGGGGCUGCCUGCCCGGCUGGCGGCCGCGGUCGGCCACGUGCGGAGCGCGGGCGUGGAACAGCAUCCACUGCAGCCAGCCACUCAGCCGCCAGCGGUGCCGCCACAGUGGCGGGUUAGCCUGGACCAGCUGUGGGUGGCUAACGCUGCGGGGGCUGUGUCCUAAGUCCACUACACGGGGCGGCUCUUGGAGCCUGGGCCUGGCGUGCUGCCCCCGGCGGUGGAUGGGGCGUGGCAGCCUGCCUGUGUGCUGCAGCAUCGCAAGCCGCGGCACCUGUGGACCUUUGAAGAGCGGGCGGCGUACGAUGCAGCAUCACCAGGGGAACGGCCGGGGGCGUGGCCUCGGGCGCCGUACUUCCUGGCGCCGGAGGCUGGGGUGGUGGUGCACCCGGAGCACUGUCGGAUUGCGGGUGUCAGCUUGGCGGACUACACGGUGCGGGAAAUAGAAAUAGAAAUAGAGACACCCUGCCGUAGGCAAGUGGUGUGAAUUAAGGGAGUGGGGGGAGAUGAGGAGGUGGGCCAGGCCCGCCUCCUGUACGCCCCCACUACCGAGCAUGUGAAGGCGGGCGUGCAGGCCAGGCCUGCACCCCGCCAGGAUGUUACGUCCCGCCCGGGUCGCCAGGUGGCAGUCCCCGUUCGAGACGCCGUCUGGUCAAGACAAUGUGGUUGAGGGUGGCGACUGCGUGGUCGUGUAGGGUGUCGCAGCACUGCCUGGCUUUGUGGGAAGUGACGCCCAGGGAGGUGAGGAGGGGAUGGAGGUCCUUGCGGAUUGUGCCUGCAAAUCCGAGGCUGAUUGCGCUCUGCGGGGUGUAUUGCACUUUCCAUCCCGCUUCCCGCAGGUCGGCUGCAAGUGCCUGGUGCUGUUGUGCUUUUUCGUGUUGCUUGGCGGCGUGGUUCGUGUCGGCGGUGUAUCCUGCUUCGAUGAUGUGGAUGGUGUCGCGUUCGCUGGGAAACACGACAAAGUCUGGGUUUAGGGCUGCGGCGAGGGAGAUGGAAGGGAUUAGUAGGAUGUCGGGGCGGUAAUGUAGGUGGCGUCCUGCUGGUUUGCCCUCCUGGUCGGGGAGCAGCCACGGCGGCAGGCGGUUGUCAGCCGCGUAGUCUGGCAGAUCGGCUUUAGACGUGGCGUCCAUUACCAUGUAGCAGCCGCCGCAGUCACCACGGGAGAUGGCUCGUGCGAUGGUCUGGACUGCAAUGUUGUGUCGUUUAAUGUACAUUGCACGGAGUUGGGGGUUGUGGCAGCCUCCCAGUAUAUGGCCACCGGAGUCGGGUCCGCGACAGAGUGGGCAUGGGGCGGGGGUAUCGGGGCCAGCGCGGGGGGCUCGGCGGCCUGUGACUGUGCGGCCGAAACGGGCUGCGAGUUUUUUGUUCCACAGCUGCCCGUACAGAUAGUCCAUGCAGCGUUUGGCCUUGCGGUGCCGGCCUGAUUGCAGGUUCAUGGUUCGGGUGCUGGAUUUGAUAUCCAGGUCUGGGAUGGCGUUGGCAACGAAGCCAGUGUAGAGGGUUUCGCGGGUGUGGCCUUGGGCGAUGUGCGGGGCCGCGAGCGUGGCGAUGCCGCGGUUGAGGUCAUGCGCGUAGUGCCCUUCGUUCUUCUCUCGUGGCACCCCUUCCACAGUCGGUUUCAUAGUUUUACGUAUCCAGUAGUAUUUGCUACGCGGGUCGUUAUCGGAUUCCUCGACCAGCCACUCGGCCCCGGGCAUCUGUUCUCCCUUGGCGGUUUUUACCGCCGCCUGAUCUGCGAGUUCAUUGUGCGCAAUCCCUGAAUGUGCUUUGACCUUGAGGAGAUUAGUCCGGCGGCCGGCGUGGGAGCGGCGUUUCAGGAGCGCGAGGAUGUUAUCCAGCAGCGCUUUGUGUUUGCUGAAGGUGAGGAGUUGGGGCUGGUUGAUUGUUUUGCGGAUGAGGAACAGCGACGCAGCGGAGUCAGUGUAUACUGUGACUUCGGGGAGCGCUUGCACUUCGUCUAGCUUGAGCACUUGGUGUAUGGCCGAGAGCUCGCAGCGUGUGAUGGUGUUACAGCCGUGUUGCCCAGGGUUGACGUCGAUUUGAUAGCAGCGCAGCGUGCGGGCAUCAAUCGCUGCGGCCCCCCACGCGCUGGGCUGACCGAGGGCGUCCUUCUGCACUGAGCCAUCGGUGUAGAAGCCUUCAUAGGGAUUGAGGCGGAGGGGCUGGGUGGCCGCGAAGGGGGCCAGGGUGGCUGGCGUGGCCGGUACGGGAGGGGGUGUUACCCGGGGUGCCGCCGGACGGGUGCGGGUCAUCCGGCGGACUUGCUUGGUUACCCAUCGCGUGUGGGCCCACGUGAGUUGGGGCUGCGGGUCGACGGGCAUGCCCGAGAGGUAUAGGGAUGUGCCUAGGGCGUCGCGGAUGGGCUGGGCGAGUUGGGCUCCGGGUGUAUUGCUGAUCAGCACUAGGUCGUGUUUUAGGGUGAUGCCUGUGUCGUUGUGGAUCUGGCCGAGAAGGGCGUGUGUUGCUGUGGCGGAGAUGCUGCCAAGGAGUGUGACUCUGGGGUGGGCGAGGUAUCGUGUGUAUGGCGCGUUGCGUUGGGUGGGGAGGAUGAGCAGCGUGGCAGUGGUUGGCGGGUUGCGGGUGUUUGUAAGGGUUUCGGUGUGUUCGGCCCAUGCUAGUGCCCAGCGGACUGCGUGAGCUCCGUCUUCGGUGUUGGGUUCGGGGCAGGCGACAGCAACUCCAUCCCACGGCUGUGAGUAUGCAUCAUAGUUGGCCCCAAAGAGCAUGUCUUCUUCGUACAGUGUGUAGUAGGUGGUGGCGGCGUCCGAGACGUUAAGGGGUGAUGCGAAGAGCUCCGUUGUGCUGCCUAUUGCUGUGUGCAGGGUUUGCGUCAGUCCUUCACACAGCAUGCGUUCGCCUUUUUCGGUAACAGGGUGGGAUUUGGAGCCGCCCCCGGGUUUGUAUCGGAGGAGCAGGCGGGCGAUGGCGGCCGCAAAGCCUCUGCCCUGAUCGUGCUUGGCGUGCACUUCGGGCCAGGUUGUUUGUGCAUGCUGGUAGCGUUGCCACAGGAGGCUGAGCCGCUCUGCGCUGAUGGUGCCUAUGCACCGUCCGCGGGGGUCGUAGACAUGCGCCAGGUGGGUGCCGCAUGCCGGGGAGCCGGGGUCGAGGACUGUACCGAGCUGGACGGUGUAUGCUUGCGUGGGGUGGAUGUCUCGGCUAGGGUUGCAGGGCUCAACGUUGAUAUCCACGUAGUGGCGCAGAGUGCGCUGCCCUCGUGCUGUGUCAUUGCUGGAGUCUGUCCAGCGGCCCUGUCGCUGGUCGUGGCUGAGGUGGGUGUCCGUAGCGGGGGGUGGGGGGCGGGGGCCCAGGGGGACAGCGAGGCGGGCGUGAAGGGCGUCUAGGAGUUCCUGCUUGUUGUCUUGUGCAUCCAGGAUAGCGGCGGGUUCUUCCAAGUCUUCCCAUUCCACAAGGACGCGAGGUUCGUUACCUGGGGUGAGGAGCCAGGUAAGGCCGCCGGGUUUGGGGCGGUAGCGGUUGCGGGCGUAGAGGGUGAGGGAGCCGGGGGUGAUGACGGUGGGUUCCCACUGGACUCGGUAAAAGGGCGCGCCUUUGCUGGUGGUGUGCGCUAUCACUUGUUGUACUCGCUCCUGUUGCCCGUAUAGGGUGUUGGUGGUGGUUAGGGCUUUGGUGCGGUAGGUUUCGCUGAAGUGCUUCCAUGUGUCGGACGUGGCGGCUAGGUACGCGUCUUGCUCCUCCUGACUGAGCUUGUGUCGGUGUGUGAAUGUGGCUGGGGGUGUGGGGCCGAGGAGCAGGCCUCUGAGGUGUGCCGCGGGGUUUUGGGGCUUGGAUUUGCCGAGGAGGCUAGGGGCGGUAUGGAUCAGGUCUGCGCAGUGUGCUUCUGUAAGCGGGUCGAGCGAUGGAUCCCAAUCAAAUGCUGCGGGCGCAUUAGCAGGCGGUGAUCCACGACCUUCAGGUUCCCUGACCAUCUUAAUGCAAGCCCGCUUACGUUGCUGUGUGCCUGGCCGGCGUGUUUGUGCAGGUGCAUGGUUCUCGCCGGCGUGGUGGUCCUCCGCAGGCUCGGCCGCCGCGGUGGUGGCGGCGGCGGUGGUGGCCGCGGCGGUUUCUCCGGCGUUGGCAGUCUGUCCGGUGGCGGGGGCGCGCUGGCGGAGGAAGCGGUUAAGCGUGCCCCAGUCGACGGCGGCAGGUGCGGUGUGGGCCGUGUGGAGGCCAGUGAAGGUGUGUCCAUCUGGAAGAGUGCGCUGGGCAGCGGUGAGGGGAGCGGUGCUGUUGUGGGUUUUGGCACGAGCUCGGGUUUCAGCGUGGAGUGCGAGAGUGAGACGGUUGAGGGCUAGCCUGUGCCGCCUUUGGGCCCUCGGCCAUGUGUUUCUUAGAGUGUUGGCAUCGAUGACGCAGGUGCGGUCCGGAGUGAGGAGCUCGCGGAAGUCGCUGGUGAGUUCAAGGAGGGGUUGAAUCAAUCGGAAGGGCAGGGCCUGUUCCGCGUCGGCGCCUGGCGGCACGGUGCGUGCAAGGAGGGCCGACAAACCGUGUAGUGUAGUGUGGUAUGCGCUGCCCUGUUGGGUCAGCUCCAGGCCCGCGUCUGUGAUCAGCGACAGCUGUCGCAGGCUGGUAUAGAAGCGGCAUUGUGUGCGGAGCUGAUCUGCGGGUAUCUUCUGUGCCACGCUGUGUUGCAGGUGGAGCAUGGCGCGGGUGACGGCGCCCAGCCUGCCUCCAUCGUUCAGGGCCUGGACGAGAGCCUUGCCGGCGCGGCGGACAUACAGCUCGCGGAUGCUGCCUACGCCCAGGCCAAGGGCGUUGGUGGGUUGGAGGAUAGCGCGGGUGGGGAAGCCUCGUUUCAGGCCGUAGCACAUUUUGGCGGUGCUGGCAAUCAGGGAGUCGAGGCUGGUGACGUCAUGUGUGCUGUACGGCAUGAACGGGAGGCUGUAGGCCACUGCUGGGUGGAUGGUAAAUUGUAUCAUUCGGAGCUUUUGGUCUGGUGUGGCAAGUGAUGUGGCGAUGCGUUGCCCUCGCUUCUUAAUCUUUUCCCGGAUGUACUGUACUUGUGCGCUCCAGUCUAGGGUAGGGGUGAUGUGGAUGCCGAGGUAUUUGUAAGAUUCAUGCGGGGGCUUGUAUGGGAUAGCGGUGCCGUCUAUGCGGAUUUGGCCUUCUAGCAUCCGGGCGAGCGCUGCCUGGUGGGGCUUGCUGCGGGGGCCGCCAAGGGUGGGGUCGGCGCGCGCGCGGCCGUGGAGUAUGCCUUGUAGUUGGCAUUUGGAGACGUUGACCUUCAAACCGCCCCAUGCUGCGUAUUUCUCAAUUUUUUCAACUUGGAUUCGUAGAUUUGAGAUUUGGGUUGUGGCUGUGACCAGGUCAUCAGCGAAGGCGCCGGAGCUGAGGUUAUGCUUGUCGUUUUCGGCUUUGGUGAGGCAUCCGUAUUGGUACCCGCGCCCGCCAACGUGUAGCCACCGGAGCAGCGGUUCAAUAAAGAUGAUGAACAGUAGGGGUGAUAGGACGUCACCCUGCACUGUGCCUCGUUGGAUGGGGAUGGGGGGCGUGGUGCCGUGCUCAGUGCGAACGCUGGUGGCUGCCUUGCCGUAGAGGUCCCGUACCACCUCAAUCAGGUCGGUGGGGUAGCCUAGAUCGUGCAUGACGAUGAGCAGUUUGUCAUGGUCGAUCGUGUUAAAUGCGGAGGUGAAGUCAAUGUACAGUAGGAAGAGGUCGCGUCCGGUGGUGGCGGCGUCCUCUAUUGCGUGGAGCAGGUUUUGGACUUGCCGUUCGGUAUUGCGGCCUCUGAGAAAUCCUUCUUGUGACUCCGUGAAAAUGUGGGCUUGUUCGCUAAACAGGGCGGCGUUUACGGUGAUGAGAGAGGUGUACAGCUUGUAGAGGGUGUUGGCCAGCGCGAUAGGCCGCUUAUUCUGUAUCAGCAGGGGGUCUCCCUUCUUGGGUAGGAGGACGGUGUCGGACUGUGUCCAGUGUGUAGGGAUGUGCGCUUUCACCCACAUGAGGGUCAUGAGUUGGUGGAUGGCUGUCUGCAGGUUGGUUGGUAUUGUCUGGAGGAGUUCGUUGGGUAUUCCAUCGGGCCCCGGGGCCUUGCGGCGGGACAGGUGGUUGACGCAGCCAAAGAACGUUGUGCUGUCGGCUAUGCCGGGCAGUAGGGUGGCGGGUGCGUCGGUUGGCUUGGAUAGGGCCGGCAUACGAUCAGGUGCGUCGGGCCGGCUCCAGGGGUACUGUUUCUCGCUGUGGGGUAUGUCGUAGUGUCCUGUGCGGGGGCCAUUGAUUGGGAGGAGUUGAGCGGUGAAGUGCUGGUGGAUGCUGCUCAGGAUUUUCUCGGGUGCGGUGUGGACUUCUUUGGUGGUGGGGUCAGUGAGGGCGGGCGUGCCGCGUGGCUGGUCCGUUUCAUCGAAGAUCUUCUGGUGUGCGCGCUUUGGCUGUGUUGCAACCAGUCGUCGGAAGGCGCGGGCUGCCCGUUUGGUGUUGAGUUUCCUUGCUUCCUUUUUUGCGGCACGGAGGAGGGUGCGUGCGUUGAGUAGUUGACUCCGGAUGGCGGUGGGUGUGUCGGCUUCUGCGGGGGUCGGCGGGGUAGGUGUGGGACUGGUGGUGUUGGGUGGGGGCGUCGGGGCGGGGUGAGGUGAGGUGGUGGGUGGGGUGGCGCCCGCUGCGUUUGUGACAGUAAGGGCGGCUGUGAGUCGUUCUUUGAGCUUGCUGGUGGCAGUCAGGAGGCGCGUCACUGUUUUUGACGUGUGGUGUCGUGGGCUUGUAGUGCUGGCGCGCGGCGGUUUCUUGUCGCAGUAGGUUUUGAGAACGUCCAGGCACUUUUGGAGGAUGGAUUCGAGUGUGUUGCUGAUGGACGUGGUGUCGGCUGCACUAACUUCGGGAAGGGCGCGGAAUUCCGCAGGGCUUGGGGUGUUCCGCUCGGCUUGGGCAGGGGUGAGGCCGGCAGGGUAUAGCUUAUUGGUGAUGGCGAGGUGUGCGGGGUGUAGCGUGUUCAGUAGGUCGGCGAUCUCUUGCCCAAUGGUUUCUUCCAUCUUGAUGCGCGCUUUCUCGCGUUGGUCUUUGGUUGGUGGAUGGUAGUUUACCCAUGCGUCAGGAUCGGAGGGGGCGGCAGGUGCCGUGGGGAAGGGGUAGAGGCGGAGGGCAGCGAGGGGGACGCUGGAGAGGAGAGCACGGUGGUCGAGGGCAUCACCGCAUUCAUGCACCGCUUCCUGUCCACCUCCUGUUGUAGUGAUGAUGGCGUGUGUGUGGUGGCUUACUAGUAGGUCGUCAAUGCGGCUCAUGUGCGGUGCCGUGGCUUGGUCUUGUAGGUAUGUGUGGGGCCGGGGGUGGUCGUGUGUGGGCGGUGUGAGUGGGUGCAGGCCCGCAGAGGUGGCGAAGGCAAUGUGGGCGCGGUCCGUAGCGUUCAGCUCGCCCGUGCUGCGGUCGGAGGGGAACAGCACUGCGUUCCAGUCGCCUCCCAUAAGGAGAUGCUCUUUAGCGGCUGUCGUUUUGGCGGCUUGGUCGGUGCAGUAUUUGUAGAUUGCAGCGCGGGUGGCGUCGUCGCUGGGGGCAUAUAUGCCGAUGGCGUGUACUGGCGUGCUGUGUGGUGGUGCAAUGCGUAUGUGGCAGACGUGGCCUGCCAGGCGUGCGUCUGUGUUGUGUGCAUUCAUGUCUGUGGUGCCAGACGGGCGGCUAAAGCGGUGGGUGACACCGACCAUGACGCCGGCAUGGGGGCGGGUUCCCUCUCGUGGGUUGUAGGGUGCGUUGCUGGUGUAGGUUUGGUAGUGCGAGGAGAGGCCCUUUUUCGCGCUGCCCAUGCUGUAGUGGAGGCGGGUGGGAAUUGGCUGUCAUUGGCCGCUUAAAAGACAUUUAGAUACAUACUGCUACACUACGCCCAACAUACACCAACGAGCUCGGUUUGAAUUUCUGAACAAGUGAAAUAGGCGAACAUAGGAGCUGUGCAUGCCGCAGCAGAAUAUGGACGUUCUAUUUAAAGCCCAAACGAGCAAGGGGACCACUGUGUGCAAAGCCUUUUGCCGAUCCGUCAGUCCCUCGUGGCUGCACCGUGACGGCAAUUGUGUACCCACCAGAACGGCACCUUGCUCGGCGGCUGACACUCAGACUAUCACAAACGGUGCUAUCGUGGAGGGCAAGAAGCAGGGAUCGCGACACAUGCCAGCGAAGGCGGGACGCUGGACCAAAGGAAUCAGGGGCUGGCUGAUGCUGGUGCUGAUAUUACUAGGCAAUUGCGACAUUCUCGCCAAGCAGGGCAGGGAGCGGCAUUCCGGGGCAAACAAUGGACUCGACCUGGGAGCCUGCCCGGGCACAGCCUCACAGACGACUCCGGAUGAUCAAAUACACCAAGAACGCAGCAGUGAACUUGAGAAACAAGGGCUCCAACACAAGAAAAUUUCCCAAGUUCCCUCGCCCAAGUUGGACAAGAAGUUUCAACCCCAAAUUAGCCAUUCAUGCUCUCAAUACUUAACACAACGUGCUAAUAAUACCACUGAGGAAAGGGGGACCCACAACAAAGAUCCAGAAAACACCUCCACUCUGCACCGACAGGACUUAAAAACAAGCACACAUACCCUUGGAAAACAAUACAGUCGUAUAGCUUUAACUGCCAUCGGCAGUCAGAGGCUGCCUAGACUCCAACGGCUCGCCAUUGCCCGCCACGUCGAGAGUACACUGCAAGUGGCCCACGAGGGCCUUCACAGUGUGACACGACUAGCCGGCACCACCAGCUGCAAUACUGAGAGUAUGUCGCGUCACGUUAAGCUUAUAAGGGUGGUAUUAAGUGAUUCAAUGAAGACCGCCAGGAGCGCCUGGAUGGACAGCAUGCGGUUUACUACUGAGAUUGCGCUUGCUUGCGGAGAGAGUCUGAUUGGGCCGUACCCAGUGGUUGUGUGUAAGGCUGAACAUGACUGGUACUCACUCUGUGCUCAUAUUUCGAUGAUAACCCUAGCACAUUGGAUGGGAAAUGGGCUGGUGCGAGCUGCAUACCAAGGGCACUCACUGACGCUGAAGCUAUUCCUAGGCACAUGCAGCCGACUCUCCACCCCCCUAAAGCAAUUCCUAGUAUGGGCAGCGACGUGCACACGACUUACACUGAAUGCUCUCAUAAUUGGCACAACGGCACUAGCUACUGUCAUGCUUGCCUUCCUGCUCUUGAAACACCUACGUGCUGCUGGCAGGAAAACACACACGACGACAGCGGCAACAGAGCUGUAUGCCAAUGGGGCUGCGCUGACCACUCUACUUAUUGGACCGCUCUGCAUCAGCCUCGCUAUGACUCCAUUCUGCUUCCUUAUGCUUUUCUACAGUGCAGCCGCCAUCCCACUCGGGAUCGCCGCACUAACAAUUGCAACUGACGGCACUAUUCUGGCCCUGGCAAUGCUCCUGUACAGCGCACACCUGGCCCGCCGGCAUGCACCAGCCAUAUGGCCAUACAGAAAUGCCGUCAUAGGCACAGUAGCCAUGCUAAUCACCUUGUGUGCAAUGUACACACACCUCCCAUCUCUCUGCACAGACCACCAGCCGGUCACCGCCCUGCAAGCAUGGGUUCCGACUAUGGUCACUGGCUCGGCCUCCAUGGGGCAGGCUGCCCUGUGGCUCACAAGUGCACCCCACUCCACCAUGGCACACACCCCACUUCCGGGUCCCACAAGGUCACCACCCCUACGGGGGGCCUGGGAGACCCGGCCAGCUGUCCGCCAAACAACAGCCCAAUCCGCCAAUCCGACCCGUCCACAGCCACUACACUACCCCCCCGGGCUCUCAAACACAAGCUACCGCCAGACACAGCAACUCGGAUUCUGCGGCAUCCAUGCCAUAAAUAACAUGCUAGGAUUCUCCUGGAUUGAUCCGUUCAAUGUGCUGAGACAUGCCAACGCAGUAACAGCUGUACUGAACCAAAUGCAACACCCAAACCGCGACGGGUGGGCAAACGCCUACACACAAGCGGGCAGGUUUGACAUGAGCAUCAUCAACCACUACCUUUACUAUAACGCCACAAUCGGGAAUGCAAACGCACUUCCCAACAAGCGUUUAGUCAUGCGCUGCGCCGUGUCACAUUUUGACACACCAGGGGAUCCCCCUCAUUCCAAAGACUCCGUACUCGCCGCAUUACCACGUGAGGCGCGCCGCCUUGGCUUCAAUGUCCUCAUGAAUAGCCGGCCCCAUGUCUAUGCAGUCCGCCUUGAGGCAGGCCAAUGGCGCAUAGUCGAUUCAGAAAAUACACCACUCCACAACACUCUCCUUGAAGACGAUGGAUGGAGUGCUAUGGAAGGCCAUAUUUACUACCUCGGCACCGUCUCCACUGUAGACAUGGAGGCCGUGCGCAAUACACUCGGCCCUUGCUACAACAUCUUUCCACAAGAAGCAAGGCCACUGCCCACAGCAGCACCAACAGACCGCACAAAUGCCCCCAUUGAAAUAGACAUCACUCAACCUGAACAAAGGAACACUGCUACAAGCCCAAACAACACAACAAAUGCUGCCCAACGCCUCGCCCCAAACAUAACCGCCCAAAUACGAACCAUACGUACCCUGGCCGCCGCCACCGCCACCAAUGGGACAGCGCUGGCCCGCUGGACAGGGCGCACAAACACGCUCACCGACCUAUUCAAACGACAGCAAACCGCACCAACAGCACGGCAAGACACAACUACCGCACAACCUAGCCCAGACCAAACACAGGCCCGCACACUACAUCUUGUCACACACAACGUACGGGGCCUACUCUCACAAGUAACAGCCGCAGGUGCCCCGGGAAACCUGAGCUUCACACUCUGCAAUCUUGCUGCCUGGAACGCCGAUAUUGUGAUUUUGACUGAAACUAAGCUUGGCCACCGACACGACCCACUAAAGCGAGCCUUUAUGAAUGAAGGGUACCGCCUGUACUGCAGCUCUGUUCCACGUAACACCACGGAAAGAGGCAGCGCCGGCGUCGCCAUUGCCGUGUCCACACGGUACAGUAACCUGAAUAGUGUUACCCACCACACUCCUCCAGUCACCCUACACGGCUAUGUGUCGCACAUUCAGAUCCGCACACGGGGCAGCACGCCCCUUACAGUCCUGGGUGUAUACGCGCCCGAAGACACGGCAAUCCGCAAGGCCAUCUACCAUUACUGCCAGACCACCCUGACACACACCAGCGCCUGUGAACAACACCUGGUUGUGGCGGGAGACUUCAAUGCUGUAGCUAACGCUGCAGAUCGCACAGGGCCGCUUGACUCUGCUGACCGACUACACCAACGCUUUCUGGCACAAACUGGCUUAUUACCCGCACGAGGCACCAUGACCACAGAGGGCGAAUGGUCCUAUGAACAAACACAACAUGGUGUCACAACGCACCGCAGCCGCAUAGAUGACAUACUCAUGUGCACGACAACGCUCACCGCGUGCCCCAGCCCACACGAGCACGUAAGUACAGUCGCGGGUAACUUUGACCAUAAACCUGUACACGUAAAACUGCCUGCUGACGCGCUGCACCUAUGGGAAGCACCGCAGCCCGCAGCGCCACCAGCAACAACAUCUGAAGACAGCCCACGCUGGUCUCGCGUGACGCUUCCAAUCACCAAGAAGCAGCUGGCCGCCGCUGCCGCCCACUUGGAGGACAUAAUGGUCGAGGCCACGGCAGACCUGCACAAUGCCAGCAAGGGCGCGGUGCAGGUGAUUGACAAUGCUCUAAAACAGCACACUAAAAACCCAACCACCUACCCGGCAAAUACAAUGCAAUGGGACUUGGCGCACAACAGAAUUGUACAACAAACCGACGUGAACCAGUUGGCUGAGCGGUUAGGCAAGGCUCUCGAAGACGGCCUCACCUGCCUACUUGAAGAGUGCACACUAAAACCGCCACUCACCGGGAAACACCAUCUUUCCCGGUCAGCUGCCCGACAUCUUAAACCAUUAUGGGACAAGGAGGUGGAACUCAAGCAAACCCUCACUAACCUGACAGCCGGCGGUGCAGCGCCAGACACAACAACGGAAGGAGAGGCUGCCGCCAUACGAGGUCAGAUAAAGGACUGCCAAGCCCAACACCGCCAGUUGGUGGCGGACCGAGCCAAAGCGCAGCGUGAAGCUGCUGCCGCUGCCCUCCAGCACACGCUCGCCACCAGGCCUGCGCAAGGGCACAAACGCAUCUUUCAGAAAGAAGCAACCGAACGUGGCCUCCCCGCGGUCCGCAACCCUGAAACAGGCGAGGUGGUAACCGACCCUCCCAGCAUUCUAACCGCCCUGGAAGGGCACUUCCGCAAACUGUCAGCACCCCCACGAGGGCCCCGCACAGGCGAAUAUCGCCUGUCGCCCGGCGCAACGCGUGGGUACCCGUUCGAACUACCUAACGCUACGGACGCCUUUACGCUUGAGCGUAACAGGCACCCGGAAGCACACUCCAUGCUUUCUAGCAUGGCAGACCCCGCCAACUUCGACCACUGUAUCGCCCACCUCUCUCGUAACAAAGCCACGGGCCCAGACGGCAUUCCGAACGAGCUGCUCCGCAUCUUGCCUCACGGCAUGAAGCGAGCCCUACACAACACACUGAAGAUCAUGUACGUCAAGUCCACAAUCCCGGAGUCCUGGGCCACUUCAGACACGGUCCUGCUCCCAAAACCUGGGGACGCUCUUGACAUCAAGAACAAGAGGCCCAUCGCUCUAGCCAACACUUGCUAUAAACUGUACACUUCUAUGCUCACCCUGGGCAUCGGUGAACUGGCAGGCCCACUCCAGCUGUUCAGCGAAUCACAGGAGGGCUUCCGGGCCUACUGCAACACGGAACGGCAGAUACUGAACCUUGUGCAUGUACUGGAGGACGCUGCCCUGUAUGGGAAAGACGUAUACGCAGUGUAUGUUGACUACAGCUCUGCGUUUAACACAAUCGAUCAGGACAGGCUACUCCAGAUUAUGUUCGAUCUGGGCCUGCCUGACGACCUGAUAUGCGCAGUUCGCAACCUAUACGCGCACGCCACCACCCGCAUUCGUACUGAACAUGGAUGCACAUCCGCCAUCCCAAUAGAACGUGGCACAGUGCAAGGUGACACCCUGUCACCGGUACUGUUUAUCUUGUUCAUGGAACCGCUUGUGCGGUGGCUCCACGCAGGUGGGCGGGGCUACCGCUACGGAUGCCUCAGCCCGGAGGACAAUGCACGGUACCAUUGCAGCGCCGCCGCGUACGCUGACGACUUGGCGGCCCUGACCACAACGCUGGAAGACCUGCAGAUCCAAUGUGACAAAAUCUCGGACUAUGCAGACUGGGCAAGCCUGCGAGUCAAUCACACCAAGUGCGCAGCUACCGCCAUCUGGCACAACAAGUCCCGGUCCACCCCGACCCUCGACGGACCCACCGGCCAAGCCACGCUGAACGCGAUGCACCGUGAACUGACUAACAAGCUACGAAUUGGUAACACCACUGUACCGUACUACCCGCCCACAAAACCCUACAAAUACCUGGGGGUGCAACUCACCUUCUCACUAGACUGGAAGGCGCAAGUCUCCCGCGUCACGGAAACUGUGAAAGAAAAGGGCACGGCCAUAGCCACGUCACUGGCCACGCCGGCACAACGCCUACGCAUGCUGCAGCAAUGCGUCCACACCUCAAUCGCCUAUGCAUUUGCUGCGAUGCCAUACACGAAACAGGACAUCGCAAACUUUGACGCUGCACUGGCCGGUUACGCAAAACGGUGCUACGGGCUGCCACGCAGCUUCCCUACCCGUACCACCCUUCUCCCAAUCGAUGAAUAUGGCCUAGGACUGGGCUCACUCUUACCCCAGUACGCGCGUGUGGCCAACCGCGCGCUUGUCCUUGCUCUAAACGACACAGGCCGACUGGGCGUGGUUACCCGUGCCCUCCUGCCACGGCAGCAUAGCCUGGCGGGUACGAGCCUCGCACACCACCUACCUGCAGACAGAGGGCGCUUCUUCACAACUCUGCAACAGAUGACCCUCGCUCGUGAGCAUGGUAUACAGCUCUUUUACAAGGGCACACCGUAUACCACCCCUACCUGGUCAAUUGUCGAGGCUUUGGACGCCGCAGCUGCAGCGCGUGCGGCAGCACCCCUCUCUGUCGAACACGUGCUCCCGCUCGCGGAACUCCAGCUCGAAUUCAGCCACUUGGUCGACCGCAAUACGAGCCGCCAUCUGAUUAGCACCCGGGAGCUCGAGAAACUCCUGGGGGCAAGCAGGGUCCGCCACAAACACAAGGUUGCACUCAACAGGCUGAGUCUGGCCCUGGUUGCCACGGCGGGAUUGGACGGAGACCAAAUGCCACCGGAAAAACACGGGAGCCCGAACCCGCUUCCGCCUACCCAGCGUGUGAUCCCACCCCUGGAAGAACUCCAGGCCCUCUCCGCACGGAACGACCCUCGACCCCCAGGCAUGGCACCACCCCUCACCGCACUCAUGACGGGAGGCCCCGCCCCACAGCCCCUCACCCCAGCCCCAAACACAACAACCCAAAUGGACAUCGAAGAAGCCAGCCCACUCUAUCACAACCCGCCCUUGCAAUACACGCCAACUGCCUUGGGGCAGAUGGCCCCAACUCCUGCCCCAGCCGCGGAUACCGCAGCUCCCGUCGCCCAACCCGAAGCCAACCUGCGGACCCGGCCACGGAAGACGCCCGUCAUGCGUACUCCCACACACCCAACUGCCCACUCCCGCCGCGUCACGAAACACGCCGCCCAAAAGGCCCGCAUUGCAGAAAACACGCGCACAACACCCGACGACCUGCUCACCGGUGAUAAAGCCGCAAUCAGCACGGCUAUGCGCCUCACAAAUGGAGACGAAAGCCUGGCCGUUGGCACACGUGGGUACGAAACGGCACGUUCAGUGUUCACGGCCCUGGCAAAAGACAUGAGCAGGCACAACCACCUCUGCAAGCCCCACCCAAGGGACCCCCCUUCAUUCAACAACCGAACCCCGGUUACCCGCACGCAACGGCCCCUGGCCCCCACAAUAACCACUCUGCUCACUGCGAAUGCGACCACGCCGUCUACUGGCGCCGUGCAAACCUACCUUCUCCACCAAGGGCAGCCAGCCGCGGCCGCCGCUGAGGACCCAAUGGAUGUCGACGCCGCAGCACCUGAGCACGACCAAAUGGAAGUGGACGAUAGUCAGCACGACCUGAUGGAAGCGGACGAUAGGCAGCAAGCCUCACCACUCAGGCUGUCUCACUGGCGGGGCAAGCAAACACUCUGGAAACUAGCCCGGGAACGUGUAGUCAAGGACCUGGUCCACCCUCCUACUGAUGACUGCACCAACGGAGAUGCGCAGCUUACCUACGACCUGGAUAAUGAUGGCCAGGAGCUGGCGGCCAUCCUGUACCGCACAAACCAACAAACUGUCACAGAUAAGGAAAUUGCACGCAAACGCAAAGCGGGCGAGGACACAACCAACACCCGCGAGCCAUACUUCGCGGUCCAAUGGAAGCCAUCUGUUAUCCCACCUGGCCUAGUCACCGCCUUCUCACGCAUGGGCUACGCCACGGUCACAGACGUGCGCUGCUUCAAGCACCCACUGCAGGCUCGCCCACGCGCGACGCAGCCCCACCCGGACGGGGCCGGCACGACAGACGCAGACACAGCAACAGCGGCCCAACCCGCCGGCAUCCUACCCGCACACGCGCCGCCCACCGCACCUGCGCCCGGGCCACUCGAGACAACACAUGCCCCACGUGCGGCCCUCUUUUCAUCGAGGUCGACUCGUCUCCUGCGCCAAGUUACGUGGGCAAACAGCAAUGAGCGUGAGCGUGACCUUAAGCAUGACCUCGAGUGGGAGGAGCUGAUCUCAGAAUACACCAACCGACUUGCUGCGGGACCUGAUGCACCCGCCCGCCCCACACGGCCUCCAAAGGAUCGCAACCUGACAAUGCGGCAACGUCAGGGCCGACACGAUGACGACCCGGACGAUCAAGCAACGCGUGCACGGGUGACCCGCGCAGCAACCAUCAUCUUUACCGUCCCCAGCGAUCCCUACCACGACGUUUCCCCCCCAGGCAGCUACGCCAUCACUACCCCCACAGCAGGCCGGGCCCUCCCCCGAGAGGCCCAUGUCUAUGAACCCAGCGGACGUUGGCUUGGCAUGCUCACCUACGCACGCCUUCAAACGCUCUGGGAAAGCUUCAACCGGACCAGCAACAACCGGACCAAGGCCUUCGAGGAGGCGGUGGCUGCCCUGCUGCACAGAUACCGGCGCGACCCGGGGCAAACUGAUCAUAAGACGGCACCACAGCACCAGACGUCCCUCCCCUCGGCAACCGUCCGAGCCGUUGUGCGCAGCCUGCGAAACACCGGCAGGGGGAGGGUCAAGGAAAUGUUUGCCUCGCCCCUGAACCACACGACCGAUGCCGAUGAAUACUGGAGCCGGGAAGCCGCUGAUGUGGUGUUCGGCGCCCAACACGAUGCCUACAGCACUGCAUGGACGGGGCUCCACUAUGCACACCCUCCUGCAAACCCCGAUGCCUCACGACAGGCCCUCGUAUGGGCCCUCGCCAGUGCCGAGACAGUCAACAACUCCCCGGAACCCACACUGACCAUUCUAGUCCUCCCAAAGUGCGCAACUUACCCACACACACAGUGGCUAACCCACCCGCUCUGCCGCCGACUCGCCACCUGGACGAACGGAGAACUGGACUCCCCAGGCACAGCUGGGAUGGAGCCUGGACUCGGCACUGACGUGCCCCUGCAGAAGCAACGCGGAGCCAUACUGGUUGCCGUUGGCAACACAGCUGGGCUAAACGCCUUCACGCAGAGCUGGAAAGGCCUUCGCUCCUCACUGGUAGCCGGUCCCCACGCGCCCGCAACCGUCGCUGACACCCACCUCGGGUCAGGUACGUUAAACACGUCGUGUCCCCACAUCCCACGUCACAUCUCCAAACAUGCCAAGUACCUCGCAACUCACCAGAACAUUGCCACUAUGGUCACGCCUGACGAAGCUCCAGCGACACCGAGGUUGAAUCGGACACAAUUCCAACGUACACUGCCGCUGGCCCACAACCCCGAGGAAAUUGUAUGGACCGAUGGCUCGGUAUCCAAGAUAACAACUGAAAACGGUAGAGAACUACAAGUGGCUGGGGCUUGUGCUUGGCAUAAAGACCGUGUGGUCUACGUAAACCCAAAUGGAUUUGGCUGCACUAACACUAUUACACGCGCCGAGCUCGCUGCAAUUCAUGCAGCCCUGGAAGAAUUCGGAGGUGAAACUAGUAUGUUCGCGAAGAAAACGCUAACCAUUGCCAGUGACUCAGCUGCAAGCUUGUAUCUAAUUAAACGGGCUAUUAACGAACCACGCCGCUUACAUCUGAGCAAACAUAAGGCACUUCUGAGUUCGAUCGCCGAUUUGCUCCAUGCACGAGCGAAGAGGGACGCACACACCGUUUUCCUUAAAGUCGUUUCUCACACGGGUCUGCACGGUAAUGAAGAAGCCAAUAAAGGUGCAGCAGACGUAGCUACAAGCACUAAACCGGCUGACGUCUCGGAGCUCGCUGACAAUAACCCCCACGCCACACACUGGUGGCCAGCAACGACCCGGACGCGGGAAGACGGCUCUACCACCGUGCACUACAUCUCGGACCUCAAUCGGGGCCUCCUGAAAACACUAGACCCUUCCUCCCAUGGCGGUCAUUCCAAACACACACUCUACACGACCAAGUGGGCGGAGUCCGCCCCACACCUGGACACCAGGGCCAGCACCGCCUACAUGACGCACCCCGGCGCUGGGCACAGCCUCCGACGCUUCAUCCAGAACGCCAGACAGGGAGGCCUCAUCUGCCCCGCCCGGCUUGCGCUGUUCAAACUACGUGCAAGUGACACAUGUGCACUCUGCGCCCUGAUUCACCAGCGCGCUGGAUCCCCCCCCGAACGGGGCAACGCAGGCCACCUUGCCGGCCACUGUGCGCACCCCCAACUUGUUGGGGCCCGCAUCGCCAAACACAAUGCCGCCGUCCGUAUGAUCGCGGAAUGCCUGCACCAUGGCGCCAACGGUGGCGGGUACAUGUUGAUGGACGCAAGCAGUGCAGAUGCACGCCCCGAAUACUGUGCGGGCACCUGCCCCCCCAAAUGGAUGCUGCGCAACAAUAUCCCCGAGGCCGACCGAAAAAGGAUGAGGCCUGACAUCCUGUUCAUCCCAUCCCUACCACGCUCCAACGUGGGGGCUAGUGGGCCCCGCGGCCUUACAACCGCCGGCCGACGGCAACACAAAGUCUACCUGAUAGAAGUUGGUUACACAUCGGACCUCCACCACAGCGAAAAGUGUGACCAGAAACAAGCCCAGCACACUCGCCUAGCCGACGCCCUGCGGGAUGCAGGCUGGGACGUAGUAUAUAAAAAGGAGCAGAUUGUUACGCUGGGCCACGGCGGCACUGUGUCAAACACCUUGGAACCCCUCCUUCGGUCGCUGGGUGCCACCACCACAUCAGCAAAAUCCUGCUGCUCGCGCAUACACAUGCACAGUGUCAUCAGCCUGCGCACCACAUCCCUUCUCUACUACCGCCUUGAGCGCGAAAUGGGGAUUGUGAACUCACGCCAAGUCGGCCCCACUGGCGGCGCCACGGCUGCUGGCCCCAGCCCUCGCGAUCCAGGCUAACUUUCCACCUUUUGACACGGUGGGGUGAGCAAAACUCACUCCUCCUUAAGAAACGCGGCCUCCUUCGUGAACCGCGUACAUAUUAUUAUUAUUAUUGGGUGCAGGCCCGCAGAGGUGGCGAAGGCAAUGUGGGCGCGGUCCGUAGCGUUCAGCUCGCCCGUGCUGCGGUCGGAGGGGAACAGCACUGCGUUCCAGUCGCCUCCCAUAAGGAGAUGCUCUUUAGCGGCUGUCGUUUUGGCGGCUUGGUCGGUGCAGUAUUUGUAGAUUGCAGCGCGGGUGGCGUCGUCGCUGGGGGCAUAUAUGCCGAUGGCGUGUACUGGCGUGCUGUGUGGUGGUGCAAUGCGUAUGUGGCAGACGUGGCCUGCCAGGCGUGCGUCUGUGUUGUGUGCAUUCAUGUCUGUGGUGCCAGACGGGCGGCUAAAGCGGUGGGUGACACCGACCAUGACGCCGGCAUGGGGGCGGGUUCCCUCUCGUGGGUUGUAGGGUGCGUUGCUGGUGUAGGUUUGGUAGUGCGAGGAGAGGCCCUUUUUCGCGCUGCCCAUGCUGUAGUGGAGGCGGGUGGGAAUUUUGGUUUCGGUGAGGAAGAGGAUGUCGGGGGUGCGUGUGGUGACCGUGUGGAGGAUGCUUUCAUGGUGACUCAACAGUUCCCUGGUGUUGAGGGUGAGGAUGGAGAUGCGUCCGUCGGGGGGUGGGGAGGGGCUGGCCUGGGCUUGGCCGUCUGCGGGUUCGCUGGGUGUGUUUUGGAGUGUGGCCGUGUGUCUUCUUUUGUGCGCUGUUGCUAUGGUGGUCUGGUGGAGUCUCUUGGCUGGUGGUGGUGCGCUGGGGGUGCCAGUGGCGAGUUUGCGGAGUUUAGGGGUGGGGUUGGGCGUACGCCUGGCGGGGCGCUUUGUGGGGCCCACUGGUUUGGGCACAGUGCGUGUGGCAGUUUUGGUUUGACAGGCUGGGCCUGGGUUGGCGCUCGUAGGCGGGCUAGGGGAGUUUGUGGUCUUGGGGCCGGCAGGGGGGGCGACGGCAGGGUUGAUGGGGGGGUCAUGUGCGAGGGCUGCGGAUGUGGGGCCGUUUUUGUUUGCGGUGGAGGCACCAUUGCUGUUUGGAGCGCGUGUGCGUUUGGUGCCUGCGUGCUGGCGGUUUACCUCAUUUGUGCGGACAGGGGUGAUGCGGAUGCCCUCGUGUGAGAGGGUGAUGCGGGUGGUGGGGGGGCUGAUUGGCGGGAUGUCCCGGAUGUUGAAGUUGGUUGAUACUUCGGGGUGUCGGGUGUAAGUGAGGGUGAGGGUGAGGCCGCGCCCCAGGUCCGCCCACCGGUAGUAGCCUGGCUGUGCAGUGUCGGCGUUCGUGAGGGGGAUGGCGCGUGGUGCAUUGGAGUCGUGUAGCCACCAGCGGCCGUUUGCGUGUUUCACAGUUCGGGCGUGGCCACCGUGGAUAAGAAUAAAGCCGAUGUGGCGGGACUCGGAGGGGAUGGCAUUGAGUGCUUCGUGCUGGUUUAGGCCCCCGUGGUACGAGCAUGCCGUGAGUUGGACAUGGGGGAGGCCUGGCAGGGGGGAACAGGUGUUGGCUUUGAGGCAGUGGUUUAUGAGGCCAUAGUCUAUGCUGGUGGCGGUCAGGUAGGUCGCCCAGGUGGGCACUGAGGCUGGGGAGUUGCAGUGCAGGAGCUGCCACCCCCGCUCCCAUUCGGCGCAGACUGUGGCGGGUGUGAGAAGGCGUUUCCCGAGCAGGUUGUUGGUUGCAUGGAUGAGGCAGGAGCGGUUGUCGUGCUGUUUAUCAUGGAGGUGUAUGGCUCUGACAACGGGUGUGGCUAGUUUGAUGCGUUUGCUCUUGCUGCCAGCGUGUCGCAUGUGUGUGUCGGCUCCGGGCGUUGCUUGGCGGGCGCCGCGCCGGCAAGAGAGCAUAUAACUGGAAAUUGUAGUUAGAGCAAAAGCCCAACUGGUUGCUGUGUUGCUGUUUAGUUUUAGCUUGCUCUGUUGAGGGCCGGGGAUGUCCCAGCUCAGCUCGCAGCGAGCACGAGCGAAGAUAUAGCUGAGCGUCGAAAGCAAAACAAGAGCCCAGCUGAUUGCUGUAGUGCUGUUAAUAAUUCUCGACGUGCUCUGCGCACGUCUCCUGAGCAUGGCUGCAGCUCCAAGUGAGCUCGACGCGCUUUGUUUUAGCAGGUCUGGCUCCUCAAAUGCAUGUGUUUGUUCUUGUGCACUUUGCUGUGUCUGGCGGGGGUCUGGGGGGGUGCGGGGUCGCUUGCAUGCGGGCGGCUGUUCUCGGCAGUGCGGCGAAGGGCUCGUGGGCUUCCGAGUCGGUCUUGUCAUAUUGCAGAGUCGUGGGUGGCUCGGCGCGUGCGUAAGCACAAGGCACGAGUACCCUUCUGCGACGUUGACCGACUCGGCGUUCCUGGCGCCGCUUCCCGUCACUGUAACAAGUAGUCCCAGAGUGAUAGCGGUAGUAAACCAUCUCGCUGAGCCUACUUGCUUGUCCAGUCGUGUCCGUUUGCUCGCUUCCUCUUUGGCCAUCUAGUGUCUCGCGAGUGAGUGUGCUAGAAGGCUUCAAGAGUAGAUUACAUUCUUCUUAAUGGCUGGGGGUGCGGGACGUGCGGCGGGCCAUCACCGCGGCUAACCCGGCCGCACCUCCGGCUGGCGCAGCGGGAGGCGGCGUGGCAGUGUGCAGCGGCGCAGCUGACCACCACGGCGGCGCAGCAUUUCCACAAUAACCCGGUGGCUCUGGACCCCUGGCUCCACCGCACCUCUGCGGCAGCCGGGCUGCAGAACACGCCGGCGAGAGAACUGCAGUCGUAUGCGUCCCCGUCCCAGCAGUCAGGUGAGGUGGCUAAUGCUGCGGGGGCUGUGUCCUACGUCCACUACACGGGGCGGCUCUUGGAGCCUGGACCUGGCGUGCUGCCCCCGGCGGUGGAUGGGGCGUGGCAGCCUGCCUGUGUGCUGCAGCACCGCAAGCCGCGGCACCUGUGGACCUUUGAAGAGCGGGCGGCGUACGAUGCAGCAUCACCAGGGGAACGGGCAGGGGCGUGGCCUCGGGCGCCGUACUUCCUGGCGCCGGAGGCUGGGGUGGUGGUGCACCCGGAGCACUGCCGGAUUGCGGGUGUCAGCUUGGCGGACUACACGGUGCGGGACGUGCGGCGGGCCAUCACCGCGGCUAACCCGGCCGCACCUCCGGCUCCGGCCCGCCCCGCAGCCAUGCCGUGCCCGGCGCCAGCACAGCAGGCGGGGGGGUCGGGGACCCAGCCGGCGGCACAGUCGCGGCUGGCGGAGCGGGAGGCGGAGUGGCAGCGUGCAGCGGCGCAGCUGACCACCACGGCGGCGCAGCACUUCAACAAUAACCCGGUGGCUCUGGACCCCUGGCUCCACCGCACCUCUGCGGCAGCCGGGCUGCAGAACACGCCGGCGCGAGAACUGCAGUCGUAUGCGUCCCCGUCCCAGCAGUCGGGUGAGGGGCCGCGGCGGUCCGCGCGGCUGCAGGAGCAGGCGGCGGGAGGGGCGGGACCUAGCACUGGGCCUGCCACGGCGGCGGCGGCAGCAGCGGCGGCGGUGGAGGGCGACCCUCGCAUGCCGCCCCCGGAUGCGUCCCUUCUGCGGGGUACGUGGCGGAGGCUGUGGGACAGCCACGCUAGUCGGGGGGCAAAGGUGCUGGUGUACCGGCUGCAACAUGCUUACCUGCCUUGCGGGCUGUACAGGGCGGGCAAGGGAAUUCGUCCACGGGUGACCACGGGGUGCGGGGGGUUGGGGGCGCACUGUCCUCACCCCGCCUGCGGGCCACCUGGCCCGCGGGCGUGGGCCAGCCUAACGCACAUCUUCCUGGAGUGUCCAGCUUAUGCGCAGGCGAGGACGUGGCUGCAGCAGCUGUGGGCCUGCGUUGCGCCCCAGGCAGCGGCGCCGCCAGUGACGGACGCGGGUUUCAUGCUGGGGGACCGCAUGGGUAUGUGGGCCUCAGGCCCGCGGGGGGCGGGCGCGCUGCUGUGGAGCACUUUGCGGGCCACCUUCUUGUACGCCGUCUGGUGUGCAUACUGGUCCCGCGAGCCUGCUAAGCAGACAUCGGAGCAUGUGGUUCGGGAGGUGGUCAGCGAGCUGCGCAGGGUGAUGCAGCUGCGUUUCACUGCCGCCACGCUAACCCCUGAAACCCUGUCGGCUCUGCCCACACAGCUUCUCACCGCGCAGCUCAAGGCGGCUAAGCUGGAGCACUUUGUUGCCAUCUGGACGGCGGGUGGCGCGCUUUGUGAAGUGGAGGAGGUUCAGGGUGGGUCACCGAAGUUGAACUUGCGGCUGACGCUUGCAUCACCUGUGCAGGCCCCCUAGGUUUCCUUUUGGGCGGCGUUUCUUUCCAGGCGCUGGCGUGGUGUACUAUCGUCAUCAGCUUAUCUGGCGCCCAUGUGUUUUAGCUCUGGCUGGCGUCACAGCGCCUGGGCGGCUGUGGGCCUUCCUGCACAGCGCGUCUUGCAGCGGGCUGGAGCCCGCUUAGUCAGCGCCACAUCUGGCCCGAUUAGUCUUCUGCUUGUGUCUCCUCUGCCGGUUCUCCUGGGGUGUUGCUUAAGCAACCGACUUGUGGGGGUGGGGUGGGUUUGGGCGGGGCGAGUGCGUAGCGCUGGUGUUUUCUUUUCUGGCGCGCGGUGGUGGUGGUUCUUGCGGCUAGGCUGUGGUGUAGGUUGGUGCUUGGGUUAGGUCUGGCGGUGUUUUUGUGAAACCCCUCCCGGGGGGCGGGGGGGCCAGCCUCCUGCUCUGUCUGCCGGGUCGGGGUGGGGUGGGGUGGGGUGGGAUGGAUGGGGGUGGUUGGUGGCGGUUUUGAGGUGUUUGCUUUCUGUCUUCUUCUCUUUUCUUCUCUUCUUGCCCUGUCAGGGUUCUGGUCUCGGGGACCAGGCUGUUUUCAGGCAGCAGGGGGGCAGCGCGUCUGCCCCUGUUCAACCUUGUAAGGAUGAUUCCUCAAAAAAAAAGGGGGCCGCGGCGUUCCGCGCGGCUGCAGGAGCAGGCGGCGGGCGGGGCGGGACCUAGCACGGGGCCUGCCACGGCGGUGGCGGCAGCAGCGGCGGCAGUGGAGGGCGACCCUCGCAUGCCGCCCCCGGAUGCGUCCCUUCUGCGGGGUACGUGGCGGAGGCUGUGGGAUAGCCACGCCGGACAGCCGGUAAGACACUCAAGCCGAUUUCGUUAAGGCUUCGAGAGAUCCUGGGUUCGAAUCCCGGUCACCCCACCAGGAAGGGCCCUGGUUUACCAAAACCCAUCCACACCUUGGUGGUGUGUAGACCCCCCCUGUGGUGCAGGGAGUCUCUAGGGUACAAGGCUUUUAAAGGGGGGGUCGUCUAAAUGGUUAAGACACUCAAGCCGAUUUCGUUAAGGCCUCGAGAGAUCCUGGGUUCGAAUCCCGGUCACCCCACCAGGAAAGGCCCUGGUUUACCAAAACCCUUCCACACCUUGGUGGUGUGUAGACCCCCCCUGUGGUGCAGGGAGUCUCUGGGGUACAAGGCUGGAGCUCUGGGCCUGCAACUGGCGAGCUUUCAAGUUCAAGAUCCAAGAUUCAAGUGGAGCUCUGGGCCUGUCAACUGGAGAGCUCUAGAUGAUCUGUGUGGUCAUGGCAGUGGCUGUAGUUGUCACCUAGCUGUUGAGAACUCCAGUAGGUGUGUGGUGUCACCUGGCUGUUGAGGUUUCCAGUAGGUGUGUGGUGGAACAAAAACUUCUCUUCUCUUCUCUGAUCUCUGGCCCUAUCGAGGUUCUGUGAUAUGAUCCAGGCUGCCUUGGCAGUAGGGUGGUAGUGCGUCUACCACCGCAACCUUGUAAGGAUGACUUUUAAAAAAAAAAAGCCACGCCAGUCGGGGGGCAAAGGUGCUGGUGUACCGGCUGCAACAUGCUUACCUGCCUUGUGGGCUGUACAGGGCGGGCAAGGGAAUUCGUCCACAGGUGACCACGGGGUGCGGGGGGUUGGGGGCGCACUGUCCUCACCCCGCCUGCGGGCCACCUGGCCCGCAGGCGUGGGCCAGCCUAACGCACAUCUUCCUGGAGUGUCCAGCUUAUGCGCAGGCGAGGACGUGGCUGCAGCAGCUGUGGGCCUGCGUUGCGCCCCAGGCAGCGGCGCCGCCAGUGAUGGACGCAAGCUUCAUGCUGGGGGACCGCAUGGGUAUGUGGGCCUCAGGCCCGCGGGGGGCGGGCGCGCUGCUGUGGAGCACUUUGCGGGCCACCUUCUUGUACGCCGUCUGGUGUGCGUACUGGUCCCGCGAGCCUGCUAAGCAGACGUCGGAGCAUGUGGUUCGGGAGGUGGUCAGCGAGCUGCGCAGGGUGAUGCAGCUGCGUUUCACUGCCGCCACGCUAACCCCUGAAACCCUGUCGGCUCUGCCCACACAGCUUCUCACCGCACAGCUCAAGGCGGCUAAGCUGGAGCACUUUGUUGCCAUCUGGUCGGCGGGUGGCGCGCUUUGUGAAGUGGAGGAGGUUCAGGGU